rnacentral:lncRNA from 1 species
AAUUUUUACAACGUAAAAGCAAAAUAAAUUCCUAUAUACAGUAGCACACGUAGGCAGGUAUUCAAAACAUUUAACAAUGACAUGUGGGCCCCCGAAUGACUAAAAGUAAUGAAGGCUAUGAACCUACAGUUUUUGAGGAUGCAAGUCCAACUGUAGCCCUUAACGAAAUGAGCUAUCUAUCGACUAUCCUGAGCCUGAAAUGGGUGGAAAGGAGGGUGGUGAGAUUAUAUAAUCCCAGUGAGUAAACAAAUACCAUCUAAAAUAUCUAAAGAUGAGUAAAUGGAAAUAGAUAAAAUAGAUUAGCAUAAAAACGAUUCACAAUAUUUCGACUCAUUUUAAUAAGAUAAAAUAGAUUCAUUUCACCCAAAUAAACAACAAGGCUUAUGAUUUCCUAAAAAGUUUGGCUCGUGCCAAAAUCAUUCUCAUACUUAGUUAUCAGGGAUACCUUGGCCUGGGGCUAUCCCAACCGACUCCGUCAAGGCUGUUAAAAAAAAUCAUGUACGCAUAAAUCAUGUUUUUAUUUUGAAAACAUAGUCGUUGCUUGGCGUUGGCUGAGUUCACCCUCACGUGGUGGUUUGGCGUGAAGUGAACUCUAAAGUUUUACCUCGAGAGUUACCCCACGUACCUCCCCAACCGAGGUAUGAAUGUAACGGGAUUCCACGCCCCUGAAAAAGGCUGGUCCACAGAACCCGCCCAUUGCAGCAAGCUAAACCCACCAUACAAUAAAAUUUACGAUAGCAUGACAUGGCAAUUAUUUUAUUUAACAGCCUCUCAAGGCAAAUCAAUAGUUCAUACAUUUUCAGCACAUUUACCAAUUCAACCAUUCAUGCCAAUAUUAUCAUAAGCCAUUCAAUUCAAACCAUGAUUUAUAACACAACAAUUAGUCUCCAAUUACUCCAUUUUCAAAACCAUCUUUCAAUUUCAAGACAAUUUUAUAAAAUCAUUUCAUUUAAUCACAUUUUGCUUAUAAAACAUAAAAAUUUACCAUUUAAUUUUCCAUAAAAUCACAAAAUCGGAUAAAAACUACUUUAGAUAACUAAGAAGAUAAUAAGGUUACUCACUAUUUCGGGAGUCGAAUUUCGAGUACUCCGAUUCUUGAUCCUCGGGUACUAUUUCUUUACUUUUGCCAAAAAGCUCACCACCUAGACAUAAUGCACAAUAAGUCAUUUACUACAUUUGUGUUAAACCGUUGUAAAACCAAUUCAGGCUUUAUACUAAUGCAUGAAAUGGGAUGUGAAAUACUCGGGUAACUAUCUCAAUACGGUGUUCAAUAUAAAUUCAAUUAUGUACCUAAAUAAAAUGGUAUUGGCCUAAUUCGAUCUAUCAUUGAUUAAUUGGCCAAUAUGUCCAAUUUAACUCCAAUUAACUCCAUUUUUCUUCCAAUUCUCCAAACCAUCAAACACAAGUCAAAUAGCAUAAAAUUUAGCAAAAUUAUCUUCACAUUUUCUCUUGGGAAUUUCGGCCAUGGUGGGUGCAUCAAUACUAUGAUUUUUCCUACUUGAUUUUCUCACUGUAAUUCAUCAUUUCCUAACCAAUUCACUUGAAAUAAAAUCAAAAUCAUCAUCAAUAUUCCACAUGGAGAAUUCGGCUAAUGAGGGUUAUGGAAGAACAUGAAUUUUUCUUGCUUGAUUUUCAUGCUACACAUCACCAAUCAACUAAAAACACUAGAAUAUCUUAAAAUCUAACCAAAAGAACCAUCAAAAUCUCUCUCUAAGUGUUCGGCCAGCAAGAGACCCAUCAUGAAAUCAUGUGAUUCAACCAUGAAAAAUGCAAAAGAAUGUAUGGGAAAGGUAGAUCACAAGUCAAAAUCAAGAAAUUUUACCUUUGAUUGCUUGAUUACUUGAAAUCCACUAAUUUUCUCUUGAAUUUUCACUCUAGGGUUUUGUUCUUUCUUUUCUUCCUUUGUUCUUGCUUUGGCCGGCCAUAAGAAUGAAUGUGGAAGAGUUCAAAUUGGCUUUAUAAGGGAAAAUAUUAAAUGGACAAAAAUUUACCAUGUGUCACCAUUCCAUUGGUCCAUGUGUCAUACUUACCAAUUAAGCAAUUUCUCUCCACCACUUAAAUUUCCUCAAUUAUCCAUGAUAAUAUUGGGUAAAAUCCAUGUGCUGGACAAGUGUUGGGUGGUGCAAAAUUUAGAUUUUGCCCUUGGGUGACAAAAUGACUAUUUUACCCCUAUGCUCGAAAAAAUGCCGAAAUUAAAAUUCUUCACUUCUCAAACUCAAAUUAUACUCCAAAUGAUCAAUCUUAGUCAAAAAUUUCAUCCAACACUCACAUCUUAACCUUGGGUGCCAAAAUGACCUUUUUACCCUUAGGUCAUGAAAAUUCCAAUUUGACUCCAAAUCGGUCCUCAAACUCUAAAUCACCAUUUUAUAUCAUUCUGGGGUUUGAAAAUUCUCAAUUUCAUCUUAAAAUCUCUAUUUAGACUAGUUUGAGGCUUAAUUUAACUUCAUUGUACUCUUUGGUACAAUACCGUCCAUUAACGAUUUUCGAGGUGCCCAAGUAAGCAAACAUGCAUUCUUAUGUAGGAAUUGCAUAAUAAACAUAUUGUAGAGCUGGGCUUGACAUGCUUUCACCAAGAUUUUAUAAUGGCUUUACCAGGCUCAACCAAAACCUUUCAUAAUAGUUUUUACCGUGAUCAACUAAAACCCAACACCUAACUUUUCAAGGCUAAGUUAGAACCUAUUGUCAAGACCCUAAUUCCGGGCCAUGGCCGACGUAUGGGCCUAAUGGACGUAGUCCACUAAGUCCAAGCAAGCCUAUUAAUAUAACCUUUUCACCAUUCCAUUAAAAGUUGCUAAGUCACAUUUUAUGACUUUGAAUCAAAAUAAUACUAAACAUUGCCAUCUCAUAGUGGCAUACCAAUCAAAGAGUACAUAUAUUAUCUAAACAUAAUUUAAUAAUUUACAUUGGUUUGUCUAUAAACAACAAAAGAGUACUCGACUUAUAGCGGAGAGACUCGAAGGAAUGUACAGCUAUUGAAUGCCAAGACACUUACCAAGGAUCGAAUAUACGAAGACACUUUGACCUAGUUACCAGUUGCCUUGUGAUAUGAAAACAUGAAGUUGAAAACGAUGAGUAUAAACUCAGUGAGUGAACAAGAAAGGGAACAAGCAAACAUUAAGGAAUGUUUAACGAAAUCGUGAUGCAUUCAUUUUUCAAAACAAUGCAAUUUAAUUUAGUGCUUAUCAAAACCCUUCAUGUAAACCCCACAUGAGUAAAUCACUUUAUGAAAAUCGUCCAUGCUCAACAAAGGGUUUGGAGACUGAAAACUUUAAUAGCAUUCAUGCAAAUCAAGUCAAAUAAAUGACGGGUAGCUGCAACGAGAAUGCCUUUCCACUGCAGUGACACUUGAUUUAAAUUAUCAACUAACCGAUGGUUUCUUAACUUGCCGAGGGUUUCUCAUCAAAUCUCCUCAUUUUAAACUUAAUUCAUUUAUUCCUUAAUGUCGGAAGUUCAUGCUCAACUAUGGUACCAAAAAAGUGGAAAAUAGGGCAGCUACCAAACCAAAUGAGGAGCAAAACAGAAAGUUUUUCACUGCAGCGAAAUUCAAUCUCAAUGCAACGAAAUUUUUUGGUCUCAAAAUAGAAAGUUUCUUGCUGCAGCGAGAUCGAGAAGCUACAGUAACAUUCUCGCUGCAGAGAGAAUGUAUUUUUGCUGCAGCGAGAUUUCAGCCAGCACCACCUCUCUAAACCCAAGAGUUUCUCACUGCAGUGAGAUUCAAUCUUGCUGCAACGAGAAACAGGGCACCAGCAAAAAAAUUCCCCAUUCCCUCAAGCAAAGGCCACCCUGUUCACAUGACCAACACAACAUGAAACUCAUAUAAUUUCCCAAAGUUUAACAUGUCAAAUUUCACAUGCAUUUCAACCAUUUACAUAUUCAUGAACUUUUUAUAACACACAUAUCUAUACAUGUAUAUAUAUAUUCAUCAUCAAGCACACUCUCCCAUCGUCAUCAGCUCAUGUGCACUCCCCACUAGCACAUGGCUGGGUCAUCAUUGGCUUAUGUGCACUCCGACUCGCACAUAGCCGGGUCAUCAUCAGCUUAUGUACACUCUUACUCGCACAUAGUUGGGUCCACAUCAACAUACAAAGAAGCACCCAAUGCAUAUCAUGCAUAUUAUCAUAUUGUGAUAACACACAAAUCAUUGUAUAGCACAUUUUCACAAUAUAAAAUCACUUCACCAAAGGUUGGUUCCCAAGGUACAUUUUCAAAGGAAAACUGGAUAAAAUCUUUCAAAUGUUUGUACAAUUGCAUUCACAUUCCCAAAACAAAUUUUGAAAUGCAAGUCCACUCACCGGUAUGUUGUUGGGCCUUUAAUCGACUCUAACUUCCCUAAUGGUCCAAAUGGGGCGAUAGAGCUUCGUUGGAACCUACCAUUACAUUAGCAUCAUCAUUAUGUCAAUUCACAUACUUAUAGAUUCUAAAAGCUAUUUCUUGGCUAGCUUCCAAUUGCCAUUUAAAUGGCUAUCUGAUUCACUACCUUAACCACUCUAAAAUGAAUAAACAUCUUACUAUAAAACAUUCACAAGCCUAAUCAUUAGCCACCCUCAACAUUUAAAAUCAACUUUAAUUUACUGCUCACCUUGAUAGCCUUGAAAUUUUGAAAUUCUUUCCAAUAGUUUUCCAAGCUAUUAUAGGGGCUUUCCUUGUUGUUCUCUCUCUAAACACCUAGCUAGUAAGAGAAAGUAUGGAAGUGGGAUUUUUCAAGGGUUUUAAAGUGAGAAAGUGAAAGAGCACAAGGGUUCUAGUCAAAAGGGCACAAAAGUAUGAAAAUUAGAGCUAGAGAGAGAAAGUUAUGAAAGUUUCAUAUCAAGCUUCCAUGGAGAAUGGAUGCAACGUGAGAUGGAAGAAGAAGAAGGAGAAGAAGCUGUUAGAAGAAAAAGAUAUUUAUAGCUCAAGCUUAUCCAUUCCACUUGAAAUUACAAAAAUGCCCCUCGACAAAUUAGCUUGUUCUCUUCCAAUCCUUUAUGCAAUCUUUUACUCUUUUGAAACUAGGACAAGGUCCAUAAUGGUCUAGAAAUGCUCGGGUUCAAGAAAACUUAAAAAUUUUCACUCGAGGUGAAAAAUGACCAUUUUGCCCCUAUUGUUAAAAUUAUUGAAACUUCUAGUUUUCUUUGUGUUUUCAUCAUUACACAUCAUUUAUGCAGUCUUAUGCCUAUUUAGACCUUAAAAUAUAAUAAAAAUUUCUUCUGGGAGCUUAUUAGAGGAAAUGACGAAACUACCCAUAGCCCGUGUUGUGGCGUCUAUGCCUGGUUACAAGCCUAUAGAGGUUGAGGUCUCACACCUAUACUCAAUCAAGAAAUUCUAGCUUGAAUCAAUCCUUUAGAGUGACUCGAUCACUCUAAGAAUACAAGGAGAAAAGUGAUAAGAGUGUACCUAUGAUCACAAGUUUGAUCUAAGUGGUACCAAGUGAAAUGCAGCUCACAAUUACAAGGAUAGGAGUUGAGUGUAGUAAAUAAGCAGAGAAUAUUUUCUAGUUUUUGAGCUCUCUUGUGUUCUUGGAAGCCUUAAUUGCAUUUCUAGUUGUUGGAAGUCGCUUUUAUACUUUAAAAAUUAGCUUUGAAGUGAGUUAGACAGUUUUUGACUGUUGGAAACAGUUUUGCUGCAGUUCUAGCCGUUAAUCUGUCCUCUAGUGCAUAAUUCAAAAUUUCUAGCAGAAUGCUCUUAGUCGACUAACUUAUGUCUUAAUCGACUAAGUUGUCUCUGUUUUCUAUUUCCAGUUCUGGGUAGUAGACUUUUCGUCGACUAACCCAUUUCUUGCUCGACUAAGUCUUUUCUGUUUCUCAAUCCUCUUAAGCCCGCUAACUUUUAAUUUGAAUUUUAGCUAACUAACACCCUUCAUUAUCCAACUAAGAGGCUUAUGUUUGUAUCCAGCAACCGCUUAAUUGAUUAAAUCUUGUGUUAACCAAUUAGGACUAAUCUGUCUUCAUUAAAGCUCUUUCUUAUUUGCUUGUCUAACCAAUUAACCCCGUUUUGCAACUGCAUAAGCAUAUUGACUUGCUUUCCAUUACUAAAUAUAUUAAUGAAUUUAAGCUUUCUCCUGCACACUUAAACAAUAUAAUUAGACAUCAAUGAAUGAGAAUAUUUUGCUAUCAUUAAAAACAUAUAGAGUCAACAUUCUUUAUCUCUUAUUUUUGAUGAUGACAAAACACUCCUAGAUGAAUAGUGCAAUGUCUAUGUUCAAUAUAAAUGCUUUAAAUCUUUAUGCAUAAUGAGUUGCUCCCCUUUAGUCAAUGCAUCUAGUUUUCUUUAAAGAUUUGCAAUAAACUAUUUAUAAUAUCCAUAAUAGCUAAACAAGAUAUACAAUGCCCACAAUAGCUAAGCAAGAUGUAUUGAAUAUCCAUAAUAACUAGCACAUAAUAUUCAAUAAAAUCAUAACUAAGCAUCACACACAUAAAUUAAACAUGAAAACCUAUCACACUCAAUUUAACUUAGUUUUCCUUCUCUCCUGUUUUUGCCAUCAUUAAAAAAGAUAUUCAAAACUACCCCUCAAUGAGUGCAUCUAGAUUUUCCUUUAAUCUUUAAAUCAGACUUUAAUGAAUAGGAAUCAUAAGCACUCAUAUACUUAAGUCAUACAAGCUUAUAGAUAUAGUUCAAUAACUUCAAGAGUCAAGCUUGAGUCUAUGUAAGAACAAAUGUAUGGGAGUUAAAUCAUUUCAAGAAAUUGUUAAAGUUUACUCAAAUAAUGUUCAAGCAAAUUUGAUUAUUUUGUCAUAAUCAAAACUAUAAUAAUUUUAAAGCUAACAAUCUCCCCCUUUUUGAUAUGACAAAACUAUGAGCAUAAUUUGCUUUUGAAAUGAUUUUAAAAUCUCCCCCUCAACAUAUGCAUAAAAUUAAAUUUGCUCAUAAACCUUCUCCCCCUUUUUGUUAUAUCAAAAAGGUUAAGAAGAGUGAGCAUUGAACAUUUAUGCUCAAGAAAUAAUGGUUAGCAAAAUCCAUCAAGAAUAUAAGCUUCAAAACCAUGAAUAUGUAACCAUAAAGUCACCAAGUCGUCAUAUAUAUGCACUUAACCACAUGAAAAUAUACUAUAAGCAAAAUGUGCGCAUAACGAUUAUGAAGUCUAACAAAGAUGAUCAUAAAGAUGUUUAAUAAGCACAUAAGCCAUGUUUGAACUCUAAUACCAAGUGUUAAAGCUCAAUAUACCAAUUGAUAGAUAUAAGUAAAAUCUCCCUUUUUGUAAAAGCACAAUAUCAAUUAUGAGAGAUGGAAUUUUUUUAAAGCUCAUUAUAUCAAUUGGUAAAGCACUAGUAAAGACUUCCCUUAUCAUUAAGCAUUCCAAGCAUAUCAACUUCAAGGCUCAAAAUAUUUAAGAAAGAUAUGAUUAAAUUUAAAGCUCAAGAGAGGAAAGACAAUUAUAAAGCUUGAUGCUAAUUUUAAAGCUAGACACUAAUUGAGAAAACUUAAGGCUUGAUACCAAUUAUGCAUUUCAACAUUCAUGUUUAAGUGAGAGGCGAUAUAAGGCACAAUAUCUAUUUUGGUGUUUAAAAAGACGUUACCAGUAGCAAAGAACACCAAAUGUUGAAUUCUCACCAAACCUUGUUGUUGAAGAUCUUAAUUCGUUAUGAUAUCAAUGACAAUGAUUGACUCCCCCUUAAGAAAUCAUAAGCGCAACACAAAUUGUUAGAGAUCCUCAAUAGAUCAAAUAUUAAGAGAGAAAUCAUGAGCCUAGAAUAAAUGAGCAUUCAUAUGGAUAUUCAAUUUAUUUCCUUAAUACUUAAGUAUUCAUGGAACCAAACAAGUAUGAGCAUUUGAAUAGAUGUUCAACAUAUGCAUCACAUACUCAUAUUUUCAAGAAGUAUUUUCCAAGUAGUUCGUAGGCAUGUCUAAGGUAUCAUUAGUCUUCAAGCACUAUUCUCAAUUAUCAUCAAACAUUCAUUAUGUAUUCCCAAUAUCAAUUAGCUAAGAAGUUUCACUCAAGCAUUUCCAGGAAAUUCCCUAAUUCAUAUACAAAAAUAGCAACUCAAGGAGAAAUUAAAAAAAUAUCAUCAUUAAGCAUUCUUGGUGAGUAUUCUUCCAAAUCAUUUUCAAGCGAUCAUUCAUCCAAGUCAUUUUAAAGCAAGCAUAGCAAGAUGUAUUCUCCAAAUUAUAUAUGAAAUUGUCAAUUCAAGGAGAACUUUCACAAAAGGCAUAUCAUUAUUAAUGAAGCAUGACUAAAGCAUUUUGCAUUUAUUGCAAUCAUGUAUGAAAGUUAUGAUCAAAUAAGCACAAACAUGAUUACAAGAAAUAACAUGGCUAUCUUCCUUAAUCAUGAUUCCAAUUUUGUUCAUCAAAAUGCAAGCAUGAGUUCAAUAUAGACAUAUACCCACUGAAAGAAUAUGCAACCAUUAAAGUUCAAGAUACAUUCAAUUUCUCAAUAAUUCAUGAAUCAUGAGUGAUACCAAUUGUUAUAGAAUAUUGAGAGUAAAGCACUCAACUCAUGAAUAUAUUCAAAGUGAACAUUCAAUCAUCAAUGAAUGCCAAUUAUCAAGAUUCAAGAAAAAAAUAUUAAAUCAAAGCACAUUAGGCAUUCACUGCUAACUAAAGCUAUAGGCCAUAUUUUAUUUCACAUGUCAAGUUGUUUAUGGUGACCUAUAAACUAAAGUUGGAUGCACACAAAAUCUUUAGAUCAUGUAAACAUUAAGGCUCAAUGAAGACAUAGUUAACAUUUAAAUGCAUAUUCAAAAUAAAUUUCAACUAUGUCAACUUACAAUAUAUGCCAUUAUCAAACUUGAAAAUUACAUUCAUGUUCAAAUGCAUAGCUCAAGUCAAGUUUUAGAAUUCAAACCUUAAGGUCAAGCAUAAAGAAAAAUCAUAUAAGCAUGUGUCUUGACCAAUAUAGUAGAUGAACCAAGAAUAUUUUCAUUAAGUUCAAUGAGUUUAUCUUAAUCGAAUAAGUAUGCAUAAUCAAGAAAUCAAUUUUGAAACAAUCAUUUAAGCACAAACGUAAAAUAUAUUUCAAGAACUGUUCCUACAUUAGCAUUUGAACAUUUCAAUUUUCAUGAGAAGAUAUUUUCUAUAUAUGCACAUGAAAAUCCAAUCGGAUUAACAAAUUCAAGCAUUGAUGAACAAUUUCUCAUAUUUCUAUUUUGUCGUUGUAAAUACAUGAGAAUUUAUGGAAUCAAUAUGAGUGUCAUGCUUGGGAAUAGAUAGAUUUAUGUCAUCAACAAGGAUUUUCCAUUUUUCAGCAAGUUUUGCAAUUUUAGGAACAUGUACUUGCACCAAAUGAUCAUUAAAGUAUUCAUAAUGCAUGUUUUUAAGAGUCAAGAAUCAUCUUUGAAAAGGAAAUUUAGAGAAUAAAAUAUUAUAAUGGACAAGAAGUAAAGUAAAAAGAUAUUUUGGAACACAAAACCUGUCCAUUUUGGCUCUAAAGCACUCAAGAGUCAACUACAUAUCCCUUGGGUCCACUUUUUAUCAUUCCAACAGCAUUUGCAUUUUGUUCUCCAAUAGUCGACUAGCUAUGCUAAGGAGUUAAUUAUGCUAGAUUCCUGAACAUUGAAAAGCUAGAAAAAGGUGCAAAACAUGCAAUGUUCCAAGGUAUAAUGAUCUCAAAACAUGGAUUUGUGUGAGAACAAUUUAGAAUUUCAUUUCAACCAUGUUUGGAACAUUAUUUUGGACAUGUAUGAUCAAAGAUUCUUCAAGAAAAACAUGUGAACUCAAAUUUUGGAUUUUAUUUCUCAUUGUUCACAAGUGCUAAAAAGUUGAAAUGCUCAUUUGAAGAAUCAUGUCUCUAAUAUGCUCAAACAUAUUCAAUUUACAUCAUGAUGCGUGCCUAUGACUUAUAACAUGUACAACAAGCAUUUAAACAAUGUUUAAGCAUAAUAAGCAUCAAAUUUAGCAUUUUCAACAAUUUUUCAAUGUAUGGACAAAAAUGCCCUUAAGGUUAUUCAAGCAAUUAUUUGCAACAAGAACAAGAUAUAAUGGCAUUUUCAACACAAGGUAUACUUGUUCAAGUUAUAUAUCAUUAAAAUCAUUGUAAUCUCAUAGAUGUCAAACAUUGCAAAUAGAUAUGUUCUUUUGCUUGAAAAAUGCCAUUAAUUCCAAAUUAUCAGAUUCAAGAUCAUGCUUAAGAAAUCCCUUUCAAUCAAUUUCACCAAUCAUGAGAGAAAUACCAAGAAAAAUCAGAUUUAUGCAAUUCAUGUAUCAAAUCAGUUUUGCUCAACCAUGUUGUAUCAUCAAAAACAAUGAAUCAAUUUCAAUCAAAGAGAAUAAAAAGAUUUCACAAGAAAAUCAAUUGAUAAAGAUUUAAUCUUUCUUUGCAAACUUUUUAACUUGAAACAUUCAAGAUUAGACUUGCUUUGUGAAAAAUCAUGAGCUCAAUAUCACUCAAUUUUGUUUCAUUAUGCUCUAAAUGAUUUAUGAAAUAUGUAAUGUGCAUAAUGAAUCAUGUAUAUGCAUGUCAAGGGUCAUUUGCAAAUAUCUCACAAUUAUGUUCCAAAAAUGCCCUUAUGACCAUUCAAGUUUACAAGCAAGCAUGCACAUCCAAUAAGAACAAGUCAUAAGUAUUUUUCAUUAUGAAACAAACUUGUUCAAUUCAUAAAUCAUUCUAAACUUAAAGGAUGGCAACAUUUUUCUCAUAUAAGCUCAUUUUGCUUAAAAAGUACCAAUUCAAGUAGUCAAAACUUUCAAGCUCAUUAUCAACCAUCUUGAACUAUUCAAAGAAGUUCUAGAAUGUAGAUCAAUAUUGUUCAAAUGGUCAACUUACAUAAGGAAAUCAAGGACAAUUUUUUUUAACUCAAUUUUCCUUGUUUUAGGCUACUUGAAUAGUUGUGAGUGUAAGUCAUCAAGUAUGCUCAUAUUUCUAUCACAUUAUCCAACCUUUUAUAUUUCAAAAUUAUGCUUAAAAAUCAUUUUUCCUCAAAGAAGUAGUAUGGAAACAAUUUCACAAAACAUGAGAAAAUUUUAUAGAAACAAUUUUCCAUAAUCAAGCAAUCUUAAUAAAAUAAUUUUCUCAAAAUAAGGAUGAUGAUAUAUUCAGGAUCAAAUAUAGGUACAUAAUCAAUCUUUAGAUUCAUACUUCCUUGCAACUUAUAGCAUGUAUCAUAUCAAAUAAAGUUGCAUAGCCAAGAUUGAUCAAUAAAGCUUAAAGAAUUAUGCAUUUAAUAUUCAAGCAAGAAUAGGCAACUAAAAUUUUCAACGUAGAAAAGCAAACAAUUUUAGAAACUCAUCCAAAUGAAUGAAACAUUCAAUAAAUAAGCAAUCAAGAUUCUCAUUAAAAAAAAUUUGAGCAUAGAAAUCACCAUUUUCCUUUACGUGUGACUAGAGAGCAUCCAUUAUUCAAGAAUUGUUCCUUCUUGCUCUAGCACACCUACAAGAGACAAUUUUCAUUUGAUCUUUGGUAUCCAAAUUGAUUUGGAUCCUUGAAACUUAGUCUCAUUGCAUAAAGUUGUAAGGCACAUAUUUUUUAAUUGGACAAUUGUAUGAACAAUAACUAUAAAUUGUGCAAUGAUUGUAUUUGGUCAUUUUGGAAGAUGAGGAAUUCAUGGAAGCCUUUUGUUUCUCAUUCAAUAAAUCUUCAAAUUUCAUUUCCAUAUCAAAAUUUCCUUUUUUCAAAAUAUCAAUUUUCUUUUGGUAAGCUUUAAAAUCCUUUUCCAAAUUUUCAUUUUUUUUUUCCAACUCAAAUUUUUUUUUCAUCAAAAAUUCAUUUUCAACAUCAAGUAUGGAAAUAAUUUUCUUGUUCCUCAUAUUCAUUUUCUUAAACUUAAAUGUUAAAUUCUCAAAAGCAUCAUGCAAUUCAUCAAAAGCAUAUGAAUUAAGUUCACAAGAUGAAGAAGUUACCUUUAUCUCUUCAAGAGCCAUGAAGCAUAAUUCAAUUUGAUUUGAGGAUUCAUCUUCACUUGAUUCCUUAUUUGCAUUUGCCAUGUUGCUUGUUGAGCAUUGAUUCUCACAAGACUUGUCUUCCAAUUCCUUUUCCUCCUUUGUUUCUCAAUAUAACUCUUCUAAUUUUUCUCAAAUUUUCUUGGCACUUUUGCACAUGAACACUCUAUUGUAUUCUCUAUAAUCAAGUGCACAAAUGAGAGUGUACAUGGCCUUAGAGUUCAUUUGUACUCUUCUCAUUUUAGCGUCAGUCCACUUAUUUCUAUCUUUGGGAGUUUUCUCACCAUUUACCGAAUUUGUAAUCAUAAGAAUGAAAGAACCAUCGAUAAUGACAUCCUAUAUCUCAUAGUCAUAAGCCCUAAUAUAAAUGGACAUUCUAGUAUUCUAAUAAGGAUAGUUUGAUCCAUCAAAUAGAGAAGGCAUACUAAUGCAUUGACCCUUGGCAUCAACAGAUUUUUCUAGAGCCAUUUGGAUCUCUCUUAAGGAUGUUAAGCCUUAAAAAUGAAGGUUAGGCCCUAAUACCACUUGUUGGUCCUAAGUAAAUGUGCUAGAGGGGAGGUGAAUAGCACAAUUUGGCUCUUUCAAAAUUUGGCUCUAGGUAGAAACAAAUGCAAGAUAUAGGAAUGAAAGAAUAUAAAACAAAAAUAGAGUAGACAACACACCAGAAUUUAGAGUGGUUCAAUCCAAGACCUACAUCCACUGCCUUGAUUGUUCAAUCAAGGAUUUUCCAAACAAAUCCACUAUGAACGGUGAAAUUCACAAGCUUUCACCAAGCUUUUACAAUGGCUUUUACUAGGCUUAGCCAAAACCUUUCACAAUAGUUUUUACUGGGAUCAACUAAAACCCAACACCUAACUUUUCAAGGCUAAGUUAGAACCUAUACUCAAUCAAGCAAUUCUAGCUUGAAUCAAUCCCUUAGAAUGACUCGCUCACUCUAAGAAUACAAGAAGAAAAGUGAUAAGAGUGUACCUAUGAUCACAAGGUUGAUCUAAGUGGUACCAAGUGAUGUGCAGUUCAUAAUUACAAGGAUAAAAGUUGAGUGCAGUAAAUGAGCAGAGAAUAUUUUCUAGUUUUUGAGCUCUCUUGUGUUCUUGGAAGCCUUAAUUGCAUUUCUAGUUGUUGGAAGUCCCUUUUAUACUUGAAAAAUUAGCUCUGAAAUGAGUUAGACAGUUUUUGACUGUUGGAAACAGUUUUGUUGCAGUUCUGACAAUUAAUCUGUCCUCUAGUGCAUAAUUCAAAAUUUCUAGCAGAAUGCUCUUAGUCGACUAACUUAUGUCUUAAUCGACUAAGUUGUCUCUGUUUUCUAUUUCCAGUUCUGGGUAGUAGACUCUUAGUCGACUAACCCAUUUCUUGCUCGACUAAGUCUUUUCUGUUUCUCAAUCCUCUUAAGCCCGCCAACUUUUAAUUUGAAUUUUAGCUAACUAACACCCUUCAUUAUCCAACUAAGAGGCUUAUGUUUGUAUCCAGCAACCGCUUAACUGAUUAAAUCUUGUGUUAACCAAUUAGGACUAAUCUGUCUUCAUUAAAGCUCUUUCUUCUUUGCUUGUCUAACCAAUUAACCCCGUUUUGCAGCUGCAUAAGCAUAUUGACUUGCUUUCCAUUACUAAAUAUAUUAAUGAAUUUAAGCUUUCUCCUGCACAAUUAAACAAUAUAAUUAGACAUCAAUGAAUUAGAAUAUUUUGCUAUCAUUAAAACAUAUAGAGUCAACAUUCUUUAUCUCUUAUUUUUGAUGAUGACAAAACACUCUUAGAUGAAUAGUGCAAUGUCUAUGUUCAAUAUAAAUGCUUCAAAUCUUUAUGCAUAAUGAGUUGCUCCCCUUUAGUCAAUGCAUCUAGUUUUCUUUAAAGAUUUGCAAUAAACUAUUUAUAAUAUCCAUAAUAGCUAAACAAGAUAUACAAUGCCCACAAUAGCUAAGCAAGAUAUAUUGAAUAUCCAUAAUAACUAGCGCAUAAUAUUCAAUAAAAUCAUAACUAAGCAUCACACACAUAAAUUAAACAUGAAAAUCUAUCACACUCAAUUUAACUUAGUUUUCCUUCUCUCAUUUUUUUGCCAUCAUUAAAAAAGAUAUUCAAAACUCCCCCUUCAUGAGUGCAUCUAGAUUUUCCUUUAAUCUUUAAAUCAGACUUUAAUGAAUAGGAAUUAUAAGCACUCAUAUACUUAAGUCAUACAAGCUUAUAGAUAUAGUUCAAUAACUUCAAGAGUCAAGCUUGUGUCUAUGUAAGAACAAAUGUAUGGGAGUUAAAUCAUUUCAAGAAAUUGUCAAAGAUUACUCAAAUAAUGUUCAAGCAAAUUUGAUCAUUUUGUCAUAAUCAAAACUAUAAUAAUUUUAAAGCUAACAUUGAGUAGGUAAUCAUAGAUAAUCAGCCAGUGGACCCUCUUUCAUGUAAUAACAAUACAAGAGGUCCCUAUCCACCGGAUUCUCAAAGCCAUGGCAGUCUCGACAAUGUUGGCCGACAUCAGAGAAAUCAUGUAGUCGCAACAACAUAUAUCAACUCGUGGCCUAGCCACAUAUAACAUCCUGUGGCCUUGCCACGUAUAAUUACAGAUUGGGGCCUAGCCAUGUCUAACAGCCUAUCGAUGACCCAAAAGGUUCUCUAGCUUGAGCUCACUUGUGCACAAAAGUCACACUAUCUCGAUGUGACAUUUGGUCUACUCUCGAUGCUCUCAGUUUGUCAAAACUGCUUUCAAAACCAAAUCAAGGUUUUCAAGAGGUUUCUUUAAAUCAUUUGAAAACAAGGCUCGACAAGCUCUCAAUAUUGUUUUUCACAUUAAAUGCAUGGUGUAAAGAUUUGCAUUAAGUUCGGACUAAAACUGGCUCACAAGAAUUUGCAUUUAAGCCAUUUAUCAAAUGCAAUUAACUAUGCACAUCACACAAAGAUACAAGGAACAAUUUUGAUGCAAAACAUUGCAUAAAGGCUUGUUUCUCGAUUUUUAAAACACUUUACAUAGAUCAUAUAUAUAUAUAUAUAUAUAGUAUACACAAAACACCUUCAAACUCAAUUUGCAUUCACAAAUACCUAUUGUUUCUACCAGCUCAUGCUUUCCACAAAAGUAGUGUAUAAAUCAUUCCAAACCAUGAAUUCAAAUCACUUAUCAUUUUCUAGCAACUCAUGCUUUUCACAAAGGCAUUGAAUAAUACUAUUCAUAUACUUUGAAAUGGCAUAGAAUCUGUAAUACCCACACCCUCGUUGGACAUAAAUAAGACCUUAUUGAUCAAACGAAUGAUCGUUUCAUGUGAAUUGACGUGCUAGAGAGCGAUAAAGGAUGAAAGGAACGUUCUAGAAUAAAAUACUUCGCGUGUGCAAAAAUAAUAAUUAAAUAAUAAUAUUUUCGUUGCAGAGGAAUUAGUAAGCUAAAGGAUGAUUCAGAAGUUAACCGAGAUGUAAUGAUAUGUUUUGGGACCAAAGAAGGCAAGUGAAAAAUUUUGAAAUAAAAUAAUAUUAAGAUAUUAAUAUUUUAUAUGUUGUCGAAAUUACUCAUGAAAAAAGGAAUAUGACUAAUUUAAGUGGGGGAGAAGAAGUAAAGAAGAAUUUUAAAGGAAAACGAUGAUGUUUGUGUCAGCGUGAUUUUGUUAAAUCUAGCUAAUGAGGGUAAGUAAAUAUUUAAAUAUUAUGGUGACACCGUGUUGAAAUGCGAUCUCGAUAUUUUGAUUAUACACGUGUAAGCAAAGGAAGAAAGAUAGAAGGAAAUUAGAAUUUUUAAACGUGUCGAAAUGAUCAAAUUUUAAGAUACGAAAAUUGAAAGAUUGAGUACCAAAUAAAAUGAAGUUGAGGAAUUACAUGUAAAUUGCAUUAUUUGGAGAGAAUAAAAUAAAUAAAUAAUAAAAUAAUAAGGAAAUAAAAAUGAUGGGAAUGAUGUGGUUUGGAUGGGAUUGAAGAAAAGAUGUUGAAAAGUCAAAGUCAUUUGGAAUAAUAAUAAAUUUGGAACCAAGUGGAGUGGGUAGCCGGCCAAGUGUGAUGGAGUAAAGAAAUGAAAAGAAAAUAAAAAGAAGAAAGUAAAAAGAAAUGUAAGGUGGGGGCUGGCUGAACAAAAGAAUAAAGAAAGUAAAGAAAAGUUAAGUCAGUUAAGUGAAAAGAAAAGAGAUAGAAGAGAGAAGUCGAUUAUGAAGAGGAAAGAAAAAUCAUGGGAGAGGAAGAGAAAAGGAACGAAAAUUUUGCUCUUUUCUUGGCACAAUUUUGCUGUACUUUGAGGGAGGAAAAAGAGAGCUUUUUGCUGCAAUUUUUGGAGGAAGAAAAAGCUGAAAAUUUUGAGUUAAGAAAGCUAAUUUUUUUUAGGUUAAUUGCUGGAAUUUUUGAGGUUUUUAUGGUUGAUUUUGGUGCUGAAAAUUCAAGGUUUUUGCUGCUGAAAUUGUGUGAAUUUGUUGUUAAAACUUUUUAGAGGUUUUUGCUGCCAUUGAAGGACAACUUUGGCUGCUGAAAUUUGGAGCUGUUUGCUGCCAAUUUGUGCAGAAAAAUUAGAGCUCUUUGCUAGUAGUUUGUGCAGGAAAAUUGGACAGCUUUGUGCUGCCAAAAUUGAGAAGUUUUGUUGCUGAAAAUUUAAGCUGGAAAUUUGCUAAUUUUAGAGCAAAAAAUGGCAGCAAAAAGGGUGAGAAAAUGAGGCUUUUGGUGACCGAUUUUAAGAGGAAAGGAAGAAAAGAAGCCACGGUGGUGAAGGGAGUGACGGGCUGGAAAGAAAUAAAAAGAAAAGAAGAAGAAACGUGGAAAAGAGAAAAAGAAAGAAAAAGAAAAGAAAAGAAAUAGAAAAUAAAUGGGCAUGACCCAAUAGAAAAUAAAUGGGCAUGACCCAAUAGAAAAUAAGUGGGCAUGGCCCAAUAGGAAAUAAAAAUAAAUGGGCUUAGCCCAAAUAGGAAAAAUGGAGAAGUCCAUGGUGAGGGCCCAAAGGUCAUAAAGAAAUGAAAAGGGCCUAAUGGUAAGUUAAUGUUAUAUUUUAAGAUUUAUGUGUAGUUUAAUAUUGUGCAUAUUUUGAAUGAAAAAUAUGCAAGUUGCUUAAGGAAUUUUUAAUUAAGUUGCUACCCAUGCAAAUGUGUGAUUAAGUAUAUUGAGUUUAAAUUGUUGCUAGGAAAGUUUGUCGUGGAGGCGUGCCGAACGAAGUAUGUGACCGACAAAUAGGAAUAAUUAUAUNNNNNNNNNNNNNNNNNNNNNNNNNNNNNNNNNNNNNNNNNNNNNNNNNNNNNNNNNNNNNNNNNNNNNNNNNNNNNNNNNNNNNNNNNNNNNNNNNNNNNNNNNNNNNNNNNNNNNNNNNNNNNNNNNNNNNNNNNNNNNNNNNNNNNNNNNNNNNNNNNNNNNNNNNNNNNNNNNNNNNNNNNNNNNNNNNNNNNNNNNNNNNNNNNNNNNNNNNNNNAUAUAUAUAUAUAUUAGACGUAAAGUGUUUUAAACUGGGAAACAAGCUUUUCAAAAAGAUUUACAUCAAAGGAAAUUGUGCCUUAUUGUUUGUGUGGUGUGCAUUCGUGAAAUUUAUUACAUAUUCACCAUGCUAUUUUGAUACAAAAUAUCAUGUAAAUAUUUACAAUGAACAUUUUACGAAAAGAGAGUUUUAAUGUGAUGUGGAGAACGAUAUUUUGAGAAAGAUUUAAAAUAUCCCCUUGACGAUCAAAUUUGAAUUCUUGUAAAAGGUGAUUUCAUUUUAACCAAGAAAUUCAAGAGUAAUAUGAGACUACUACUUGCUGUGUUAUAAAUUGUAUUUUGAAUCGAAUGGCUUAUGAUAAUGUGGGCAUGAUUGGUUGGAUUGGUAAAUGUGCUGAAAAUGUAUGAACUGUUGAUUUGCCUUGAGAGGCUGUAAAAUAAAAUAAUUGUCAUGUCAUGCUACUGUAAAUUUUAUUGUAUGGUGGGUUUAGCUUACUACAGUGGGUCGGGUUUCAUGGACCAGCCUAUUAGAGGGGCACGGUAACCCCGUUAUAUUCUUACCUCGGUUGGAGAGGCGUGUAGGGUAAUUCUCGAGGUACAACUUUAGAGUUCACUUCACGCCAAACCACCACGUGAGGGUGAACUCAGCCAAUGCCAAGGAACGACUAUAUUUUCAAAAUAAAAAUAUGAUUUAUGCGUACAUGAUUUUUUAACAGCCUUGGCGGAUUCGGUUCGGAUAGCCCCAGGCCAAGGUAUCCUUGACAACCGAGUAUAAGAAUGAUUUUGGCACAAGCCAAGUUUCUAAGAAAGUCAUAAGCCAUGUUGUUUGUUUUUGACAAAAAUGUAAUGGUUUUAUAUGAGUUGAAAUAAGUUUUAAUAUUAUGAAUUAUAUUUCUCUACAUGAUGAAAAUGGAAUUAAACGGUUUUUCGCAGCUCCUCUAUAUGUUUAUCUAUGAAAUGAAUAUGUAACUCCUCGCAUAUGGGGCGAGUUAUGAUUUGAGCAUGAUUUUAAAUAUUAUUUGGUUUCGCGGGAGCUUGCUAAAUUUUAUUGAUUUGAUUCGAAAAUGAUUAUUAAUAUAUUUUGAUGUGGAAAAAUUUUAUUACCUGAUUAUUUAUACUUUAUAAGAAAUUCUUGAUUUUUAUAUAAGGCAUAAACCCUCGUUUGAAACGAGUUGCUUUUAUAAUCUUGCAAUUUUAUAUUCAACUGAUCUGCCGUUUGCUUGUUUUCCCAUCUACGCCCUACUCACUGAGUCGAUGAUUAUCACUAAGUCUAUGAGACUCACACCCCUUUUAUUUCCCCUUUUGCAGAUAGGGAUUAGCGUAGCGUGUAGUUAGUGACGCGUUCGGUCCAUCGUGAAUAGGUAAAGGCAUCUUCUAGCAUUUUAUUCCGAGUGGCUUUGCUGUUAGAGGUCAAGUUGUAGCAUUUUAUUUAUUAAGUUGUAAACGAAUUCUAAAUUUUUAUAUAAGUAUUAAUUUGGAGAUUAUAGAUUUAAUGCAUAUACUUAUGAAUAAAAGGAAAAAAAGUUUGUAUUGAUUUUUAUAUUUAUGGUUCAAUUUAGUAUAAGAAAGUAUCAAUAUUAUAUGGUGAUUGAAUGUAGUGGAUUAACAAGCAAAUUCUAGACAGGCUUGUUAGAGACUUGGCGGGUCUUUUUCGGAAGUCUUGGACUCCGACAGCGACCGAGGAGAGGUCGUUGCAAAAUCUUUUCAAAUUGACACCCCCUACUCACCUUACAAUGGCGGGAUGUUACUUCGCCACUAAUAUUUCCUCAAAUGCUUACUUUAUGCUUGCAUUAAUAAUCCUUGCUUUGUCAACUUCCUGACAUCAUUUCAAUCCAAUACAUUUAAUAAGCUUUGCUGCCAUUAGAUUCUACACUUGUUGUUUGCAUUUAAUUCUAUACUUUCAUCUCUUAUUCUUAAGAGAUAAUCAUUUGCACUAAAUCUUAAGGUAAACUUUGAAUUACAUAAACCAAGCAACUUGUUUAUGACUUCAAAUGCCCAUGUCAAUCUUUCUCAUAACAUUUGUCAUGUUCAAACUAUCAUUUUCGUACUAUUAAUCACAUAUAUGGCAGCAAUGAUAAACCAAAUUUCACCAAGUAAUUUCUAAGCUUAUAUGCACCAUUAUUCACAUUUAACAUGCUGCCACUAAGCACAAUAUCAAUUUUCAUUCGUGUUGCACCAAUAUUAUGUUGGGUGAGGGUUGAUCAUGCAUCAUAUACAAAUAAAAUGCAGCGAAAAUAAAUUUAAAGACUAAACUUACACCUCACCUUCCUUGGAUCUCUUUCAUGCCAAAUCGAGUACAUAAUUAAAUUAAAAUAAAAGUAUAUGAUCAUAUCACUUUACCUAAAUAACAAAGGUUGAUGAAUUCUUUGUUAAACCACCAAAUCAGCCUUCAAAAAGCUCAACCACCUCAGCCCGGUUGUUGCAAACCAAAGCUAUCCAAGGAAUCCUUUUGCAGCCACUAAUGGUGAUCCACACCAAUGGAUGAAAAAAUCCUUCUUUAAGGAUUGGGAGUGCUAUUCCUUGACAAUGUGAUAGCAAAGAUGAGUUUCAUAAACUCAUAAUUCGCACAAAAUUGUGGGGCUGAACACACAAAAACAAAAUGAAAUGAAUAAAAAACUAUUUUUCUUCACACAAUGAAUGGCAGGCCAAAAGAAUUUCUAAUGUGCCGUUCACUCCCUUUUUUUUUUUCCAACCGUUUCCACUCUUUUUGUUUGGAGGCUAUAGCAAGGUAUUUAUACCUUGGAUUAAUUUUAAACCUAAAUUACAAAACUAUUUUGUAAUUGCCAAUUAAUCCAAUAAUUUGAAUAAACUAUUUAAUGAAGUCCUUUAGAAGCUUAAUUAACUUAAUUAUUUAAUUUAAUCAAUUAGGCCCAAUAACUUAAUUAAACAAUUUAAUUAAUUAAGCCCAACAAUUUAAUUAGACAAUUUUAAUCAACUAGGCCCAAUGACUUAAUUAAACAAAUUUAAUCAAUUAGGCCCAAUAACUUAAUUGUUUAAUUUAAUUAAUUAGGCCCAAUGAUUUAAUUAAACAAUUUAGUUAAUUAGGCCCAACUUAAUUAAACAAUUUUAAUCAAGUGCUUGAGAAGCUUAUAACUUUUAAUUUGAUUAAGUCUAACUUAAUCACCUUUCCCAUUUUAUUUUCAACAUUCAUUUUAGGUGUGUGACCCAUUAGGCUUCUAACAUGUUGACAAUGAAGUCAACAUAUAAUUUUUAAGUUAAACUUAGAAUGAGAUAAAUUUAAACUACUUUAAAUUUAUCAUUAAUCAAGUUAACUACCUAAAGUUCAUAAACCAAGAUUGGGAUCUAGCAAUCCAUCAUGGCCACCCAAAUGCUAGAAGAGUCAAGAUGGUUUGACUCAACCUUUCAGUGAUAAGCCUUUUAGUGUAAUUCAUUCCCUCAUCAUAUAUCUUGGAGAUGAUAAGAGCAUGGUGCAGUGUCCACUCUUAUGGAUCUCCAUAUUCGUUCUUAAAGUUUGAUCAUCAGCUUUAUAAAGACUUAUGAAACUCCUUUCAUAAUCUUUAAGUUGCCUUGGCCAAAGACUUCAAUAAGUUGAUAUACACCAAGAACAGUUAGGAUAUGUCCCCUACAUCACUUGGGGUGAUGAUUCCUAUCUUGACCACUCAUUUGCCUUCACAUGCUUCAUACUAUACCUAAAAGCAUCCUGUUUAGGCACCCGUAGGGAUGAAAUCAAAGCAUAGUACUCCACAUAAAAGACAACCUAGUGUCUCAAGUCUAGGGAGUAUUUACACAACUGACACAUGAGAAGUAUUGCAUAGACACUUGAGUGAAAUACCAAAUGCACUUCUCAUGGCGGGUCAUGUUCAGUGAACUUGCUUUCCCAAGCAGGCACCUACAUUCUAGUUCCAAGUAUCUCUAUACUUCAACCUAUGAGAUCGGUUGCUUACUUCUCAAGUAAAGAACACAGAAUGUACUAGUCUCUAAGUAUCAUUGAUGUCCAGUCUCAAUGAUAUAUUGAUCAGGAAUAUUUUGAGAUUACGCUUUGAUGCAUACGGAUCUCAUAACUGCAACCCAUUACAGUUCCCUUGCAAGGCAUAUUUGUAGUACCUCAUAUUUUGAUACGGUGGCUAAUAAAGUUUACGGAUAUUAAUUUAGGUUGAUUAUUGAGUUAAAAGGGUAAUUUAGAAGUGAACUUGUGAAAUCUCGAUCUCCAUAAACACAUAACUAGAAGUAGACGCUAUAAUGUGGACUAGGGGUAAUUUCGUAAUUUCUCUUAGUGAGCUCCUACAAGUGGGUUUUUUUUUAUGCUAUUAAGGUCUAAAUAGGCAUAAGGAAUGAAUAAAUGAUGUUUAUGAUGGUAAAUAAAUGCGGAUGAUAAACAAUAAUGAUAAUUUCCACGGUAGGGGUAACAUGGUCAUUUUGCAUCUCGGGUCUAAAUUUUUAAGUUUCGUGAACUCGAGUACCUUUAGACUAUUAUGGACUUUCUUUCAGUGUGAAAAGAGCAAAAAGGUUGCACAAAGGAUGGGAAGAAGACAAAACCACCAUGUUAAGGGCAUUUUGGUAAUUUCGAUGGAAAUUUGGAUUAAUUUGAAGCAUAAAUAUCUGAGCUCUAGUAGCUUCUCCUUCUUCUUCUUCCUCCCUUUUCACGUUCCUUUUAUCCUCCAUGGAAGCUUGCUUUGCAACUUCCAUAACUUUCUCUCUCUAUCUCCAAUUUUCAUGCUUUUGUGCACUUUUUCAUAAAACCUUUGUGCUCUUUAACUUUCUCACUUUAAAACCCUUGAAAACUCUUACUUCUAUACUUCCUCUCACUAGUUGGAAGCUUAGAGAGAGAAAGAGGGAUUUUCCAUGAUAGCUUGAGUAUUCUUGAGAAAGAAUUCAAUUACAAAUCCACCAAGGUGAGUAAUGAAUGAGGAUUGAUUUUAGGUUGUUGAUAAUGGCUAGUAAUUGGAGUUGUGAGUUGUUUUAUUGUUGAGGUUUGUUUAUUUAUUUCUAGUGAUACUAGAGUAGAGAGAAUAGAUAGCUAAUCAAAAGGUAAUUGGAUGUUAGUUAGGAAUAACAAGUAAAGCUUAAUUCAAGAAAUAGCUUUUAGAAAUGUAUUUAUGUAAAUUGGGUUGGUAGUGAUGUUAUGUGUGUGUGAUAGGUUCCAACGAGGCCUCACAUGUCUGUUUGAAGCAAUAAUCGAAGUUAGAAUCGAUUAAAGAAUCAACAACACCGGUGAGUGAACUUGCAUUUCAAAAUUUGUUUUAGGAAUGUGAAUCUAUUUGCAGAAACAUUGAUUUAUUUUAUCCAACUUUUCUUAAAAACAUGUGCCUUGGGAACAAGCAUUUGAGAAAUUGUCUCUAUGUUGUGACAUGUGGCUAUUAUGGAUUCAUGCACUACUACAUUAUGUUGAUAUAUAUAUAUAUAUAUAUAUAUAUAUAUAUAUAUGUUGUGCAUUGAUAGUUGAUAUUGUGUGAUAAUUAGGACCGCGUGUGUGCACGAUGUGGGGGGAUGCACAUGUCGGUGAUGACUGUGGUGAGGGAGAUAGAUGAUGAUAGUGCCCCGUGUGCACGAUGUGGGGGGAUGUACAUGAUGGCACUGAUUAUGCACGAUAUGGGGGGAUGCACACGAUGACUUCGGCUAUGUGCACGAUGUAGGGGGAUGCACAUGAGUUGGGUGAGAUAAUGGUGGUAUUGGUGUUUAUUUAUGUAUAUAUGUAUAUAUAUGUUUGUGAAAUAAAAGUUCAUGAAUAAAGUAUAUGGUUGUAAUGCAUGUGAAAAUUUUGCAUGUUGAACCUUGGAAAUUUUUUAGUAUUUCAUGUUGAAAUUGGCAUGAUGAAUCUUAAGAAUGUCCCAUUUUCUUGCAAAUUGAGUUUAUUGCAACACCAAAUAGAUUUUUAGUGCAAAGGAGGUCCUUUUUACAUUUAGGUGCCCUGCUUCUCCCUGCAGCGAGAAGCAUUCUAUUUUGGCAGCCAGCAACUCGUUGCAGCGAGAAUAAAUCUCGCUGCAGUGAGAAACUCUUAGGUUCUGAUGCAGUGCUUUCACUUCAAUGAAGAUUUUAACUACCUUACCGUCCGAACUAGGAAAAGUAGUAAACAUAAAAGUUGUAACCCUUCCUCUUAUCUUUCUAAUGGUCUAAAAAUAAGGUCAAUUGGACCUCUGUAAAAGAAGGUGUGUUAGAAAAACUGAAAUACAUGCAAACUGACAUUAUUUCUCGCUACAGUGAGAAACUUUUUGUUUUGGCCCUUCUGAAUCUCGCUGCAGCGAGAAUGAACUCUACUACAGUGAGAAACUUGCUACCAUGCUUGCUACCUUGCUUGAUUUUGACAUACUUUUAACCCAUUUAACUUCAUGGAUUGAUCUUGGGUUUUUACAACACUAUGAGGUUAUUAAUCAAAGUUUGAAAUGAGGGGUUUUUAGUAAGAAACUAAAUCAAUUGCAUUGUUUUUGAAACAAGUGCAUCAUGAUUUCCAAAUUCUUCCUACUGAUUUCUUGUUCCCUUCUUAUGUUCACUCACUGAGUUUUAUACUCACGUUUUUAAACUUCAUGUUUUCAGAUUUAAAGGUAUUUGGGACCUAGAUUGAGUUGUUCACAUAUGCUCACCUUCUUGGUAGGUACUAUGGCAUCUCAGUAGCUGUAUCUUCACCCAGAGUCACUCCGCUAAUGGUCAAGAGUCUUAUGCUUGUGUACAUGUAUAAGUAAUGAAGACCACUAAGAUUUAUGUUAAAAAUCAAAUAUGUAUAUUUGAUUAUUGAAGCCACUGAAAGGUGGCAAAUGAGUGAUACUAUGUUAGCAUAAUACAAUUGUGAGUAUUGGGUUACUAUAAAAUGUUAUUGAAAUAUUUUUAGUUGAGAAUUACAAUAUGGGUUUGAGAAAUGAUGGUUUAGAAAUGAUGAUCAGGUUUGCAUAAAAAGGCUUGCUUGGGCUUAAUGGGCUAUGCCCAUUGGGCCCAUGAGCCGAUCAGGGCUCGGUAUUUAGUCUGUGACAAUAUUAAUCUCAUGGACUUCAUCCAAUUAGACUUAUAACUUGUUAUAAUUGAUGUCUUAUUGAUGAAGGAAAACCUUUAAUCAUUCAACAUGAAUGAUGUUGUUGCAUGAUUGGAAUCAAGCCUUAACCAAUCCCAAUUGGCUACAAGGCUCAUCCCAAAAUAUUAUUCAUAUUGCACCAACAUUCUUAACCUUUUUAAAUAUUUCAAAACAACAUAUGUCCAAAAAGUCUUUUUCAAGCUUUCACCUAGCAUAAGUGUUUCCUAGCCAUACUUAAGGCAUCACACAAUCAUGUCAGAUUGCAUGCCUUACCUUUGUGAUGGCUUGGAUCUUGCAUGCAACGUCAAUAUGCUUCUAAAGCUUUAAUCAUCAAACUGCCACAAUAACUCACAAAUAAAUUCCCAAGAUUUCCUAUCAACCGGAGGAUUAAAAAUGCAAGAUUAUACUUACCCUUUUCUUUAUACUUCAAAUCCACCAUUCACAAUAGUUUAGUUACAUGCAUGUAACUAUAUCCCUUCCAAUCAAGCUAAUAUUUGCUGCCACAAAACAUUUCUCAUUGUUACCAACCCAUUUUCAAAGAAUUUUCAAGCUAAAACCAUAAUCCUUACUGUGAGACCUUGACCCCUAUAGGCCCGUAACUAGGUGUAGACGCGAUAACACGGGCCAGGGGUAAUUUUAUCAUUUCUUUAGUGAGCCCCUAGAAGUAUGCUUUCAAACAAUAUUAAGGCCUAAGGCAUAGAUGAAUGAUGAAAAUAAAGGUAAAAUGACGAAAGAAAUAAAAAUAAUGAUGACUUCCAAAGUAGGGGCAAAAUAGUCAUUUUUCAUCUUGAGUAAAAAUUUUUAAGUUUUCGUGAACCUGAGCAUUUCUAGACCAUUGUGGACUUUGUUUCAGUGUCAAAAGACUAAAAAGAUUGCACAAAGGAUUGAAGGAGAACAAGCUAACUUGUUGAGGGCAAUUUCAUAAUUUAAGUAGAGAUUGGAUAAGCUUUAGCUAUAAAUAUCAUUUUCUUCCAGCAGCUUCUUCUUCUUCUUCCUUCCAUCUCACGUUGCUUUCAUCCUCCAUGGAAGCUUGUUUGAAACCUCCAUAAUUUCUCACAAGCUAGCUUCAAUUUUAAUGCUUUUGUGCACCCUUUCAUAAAACCUCUUAUGCUUUUUCACUCUCUCACUUUAAAACCCUUGAAAGGUCUUACUUCCAUACUUUCUCUCACUAGCUAGGUGUUUUAGAGAGAGAAAAAAAGAGCUUCUAUAAUAGCUUGGAAGAAUUUUGAAAAGAAAUUCAAUUACAACCCACCAAGGUGAGUGAACUUGCAUUAAAACGUUUUGGGAUUAGGGCAUCUGUGUUUGAUGAAAUCCAUUGAAAUAUAUUAUCUAUUUUUCUCUAAAUUAUGCAUGGGAACAAGCUUUUAAUGAAAUGUUUUAUGUGGUGGAAUAUGACUGUGAUGAAGCCAUGUGCCCUGUGUUAUGUUGAUGUAUAUGUAUAUCUAAAUAUUUAUGAUGUGUAUUGAUAGUAAUAUUGUUUGUAAUUAUAACUGAGCCUGUGCGAGAUGUGGGGGAGCACAUGCCGAUAAUGAUGGGUGCGGGAGUGUGGAUGGUGAUAUUCCCUAUGCACGAUGUGAGGGGAUGUACACAGUGGUAUUAACUGUGCACGAUGUGGGGUGAUGCACACGAUGACUCUUGCUGUGCACAAUGUGGGGGGAUGCACUUGAGCUGGGUGAGACAGUGGUGGUAUUGGUGUUUAUAUAUGUAAAAUAUAUGUAUAUAUGUUUAUGCAAUAAAAAGUCAUGAAUAUGGUAUACGGUUGUAAUGCAUGUAAAAUCUUGCAUGUGAAACCUUGGAAAUUGCUGAGUGUUUCAAGUUGAUUUUGUCAUUGCAACAAAAUGGCCUUUCUUUGAGAUGAUGAAAAUUUUUCCUUGGUGUCCUAUUUCUCACUGCAGCGAAAAACUCUCGGGUUUGGAGGGUUGUACUAGCCUGGUUCUUCCUACAACGAGAAAGUUGUUGAUACUUCUCGCUAUAGCGAGAAAUAUUCUGUUUGGCUUGCUAUUCUAUUUGGUUGCUGACCCUUUUCCAUUUCUUUAGCACCAUAGUUGAUCAUGGACUCCCAACAUUAAGGAAUUUAUUUAAUUAAAGUUUGAAUGAGGGGUUUUAGUGAGAAACCCUCAGCCAGCUGAUAAUUUGAGCCCAAAUUUUGGUGCAGCAAGGACCCGUCAUUUCACUUGACUUGCUUGAAUGUUUUUAAAGUUUUUACUCUUCCAAUCAUUCGUUGUGCAUGGAUCCUUUAUCAUCAAGUGAUUCAAUCAUUAACGGUUUAAUGAGGGGUUUUAAUAAGAACUUAACUAAAUUGCAUUAUUUUUGAAAAUAAGUGCAUCAUGAUUUCUUUAAACUUUCCUUAUCGUAUGCUUGUUCCCUUCCUUGUUCACUCACUUGGUUUAUACUCACCGUUUUCAACUUCAUGUUUUCAAAUUAAGAGGCAACCGAUAACUAGGUCGAGGUGUCCUUGUAAAUUCGUUUCCUUGGUAGGUAUCUCGGCAUUCAAUAGCUGAACUUUUGCCCGAGUCUCUCCACUGAAAGUCGAGUAUUCCUUUUGUUGUGUAUAGACGAACCCGAUGUAAACUAUUAAGACAUGUGUUUUAGACAAGAUAUGUAUAUUUGAUUGGUAAUGCCACUAUGAGAUGGAAAUGGUUAGCAUUAUUUUGAAUUGGGAUUGUGAAAUAUAAUUUUAGCAACUUUUGAUGGAAUGAUGAACAAGUCACAUAGAUAGGCUUGCUUGGGCUUAGUGGGCUAUGUCCAUUGGGCCCAUGCACUAGUCAUGGCCCGAAAUUUGGGUCGUGACACUUACCUUGUUUCUUUUGUCCCUUGAAACCAAGCUUUACACCGCCAUCAACACUCCACAAUUUCACUCUUGAAUGUUGAAGACUCUUUGGGUGGUAAAAUAUCAAAACUCUCAAGAUAGAGGAAGGAAAUCUCACGGUUUCUUUGCAUCUUCUUCAAAACUAAGCCCUCAUUUGAUUUUCCUUUCCACUCUUUUCUUUCUCUCUUUUAGGUGGAGUUUGUAAGAACUAAGUUCUUUCUCUUCUUCACUCUCAAAGGCACAGUUUUGCCUAAGUUCCUAAGCCAUUUCUCUUUUCUUUUUUCUUUUUAUUGGUUAUUUAUUUGGCCACCCUCUUGGACCAAUCACAAUACCUGCACACAUUCACCUUUUAUUUUCAUAUGGCCAUUUUGCCAACCUAUGCAUCUUCAUGCAACAAUUCUAUCCCUUUCGCCAUUGGUUGGAAAUCUUUUACAUUAUCCAUCCCAUUCACCUUCAUGCAUAGCCGACCAUUCAAUUUACACUUCCAUUCUCUCGUUUUCCCAUUCUUCCAUUAGUUUAACAUGUUUCUACUUACACCACUUUACUUUUGUCCAAUAGCCUUUCAUGGAUUCUCCCACAUUGUUUCUCAUUUGGCCUCCCAUUUAGCCAAUAACAUUACAUGCAUGUACAUUUCCUUUCAUUAGUCCAACAUUGCCACCAAAUGUCCAUCAUGCAUAAAUCUUCUAUGCUUUCUUUAACUAGUAAAAUCACAUGCAUAUUUCACCUUGUGCAUUUGUCUCUUUCCUUGUUAUUUGUCACAUGGUGGCCCACAUGUUCCCCACUACAAGUACAUCCUUGCAUCCAUAUCUUUGCAUGUAAUAGUAUUUGUUACAUGCAUAUUCCAUUCUCCCAUAUAAUCUAAUUUUUCUUGAUUAGUUAAUUUCCAUUUAACUUAAAAUGGUGAAAUUGCACAUAAGUCCUCAAUUUUCUUCUUAUUUACCAAACUUUUCAUCCUUUAUAAUUUAGUACCCCAAACAUUUCGUAAAUUGUAAUUUGAUCCUUCAACUUGCUCAUAAUUACAACUUCAUUCCUUUACUUUUCAUUAUUUACAAUUUCACCCCUUAACUUCUUAUUCUUUUCAAUUAGGUCCUCAUCCCAUCAUUCCUUUAAUUCCAAUUUCCUUCUAAUUUUCUUCCUUUACACUUGUACAAAUAAAAUAUCAAUUUCAUACUUCACCAAGGUGUCACCAUAAUAUUUAAAUACAUAUACUUACCCUCUCUUGUUUUAUUUAAAGAAGGCAUGCGAGCCCCACUAAUGUUGUUUUUCUUCAAAAUUCUUCCUUACUUCUUCUCCCCCACUUAGAUUAGCUAUAUAGUCCUGCUUCAUGACUAAUUUCAACAAUAGAUAAAAUAUUACUAUUUUAAUAUUAUUUUCUUAGUAAAAUAUUAUUUUAUUUAAAAAAUCUCCACUUAUCUUCUCGAGUCCCAAAGUGUCUCACUUUGUCCUAAUUCACUUCCAAAUCACCUUUUAACUCGCUAAUUCAUUCUUAAUAAAAUAUUAUUAUUUUCUCGUGUGUGAAAUAUUUUAUUUCAAAAUAAUCUUUUCCACUUGUCUCCACUCUUGCACACUUAAAUUAGCGUCAAUUGACCCUCAUCUUAUUGAUAAGGUCGUAUUGGCUUCUAUAUGAGGGUACGGGGUGUUACAUUUCCAUUACGAAUUUCCAUAUGAUCUUAACUUUUGUAACCCAAAUUAGCAUAGUUAGGUUUGUAUUUCUCAAUCAUUUACUAAUCUUGCCAUAACCAAGGUAUCAAAAUUUCAUGAUUCAAUUAUGUCCUCAAUUAUUCUCAACAUUAACCAUUACUUAUGCUUUGUGCCUACUCAUAUACCUCUAAGUUUGAUGAUAGUACAAAGGUAUCAUUGUUCACAUCAUUCUUUAUAUCUUAUGCCAUUAUGGCACAUGUAACUUAUCCCAUCCGUAGUGAACUCAUUACUAUACAUAACUUUUAUGGACAUUGGUACUCUUUCUAUUAUCUUAGCAUGAGUUAAGCAACACAUCCACUUAAGCUCGAAGUUUUAUACCCAUGUGAUAAUCGCCUCAUAGUUGGCCUUCAUAAUCAUGAAGAAUUGACGUAGCCAUAACUAUAACAUCACUAAGGCAUAAUCUUGCUCUAUCAUAUGUGUCUGUUUCAUGACCUUAAUGGUAAGUAUCUAUCCAUGUCACGACCCAGUACUCUCAUCGAGCCCGGGACAACCACCGCGAUAUUCCGAUAGACAUUCAUUACCCAAAAUAUCAAUCGAAACCUCGUAAGGCUUUAAUAUCAAUUUUCGCACCUCCCCUAUGAGCAACAGCUGUUAAGUAUCAUGUUUUGAGAAAUUAUAAACUAUUUCCAAAUCAAACAAUAGAAAAAUAAUUUAUUUUUCAUAGGGGCAUUUUGGUCAUUUUUCCUUAAAAAUUUUGCAACUAGCUAAAAAUGUAGUAUGAAAGUAUAAAACACUUAAUUAAUAAUCAAAAAUAAGUUUAAACGUCUAAAUCAUUCAUUUAAAAUGAAAUUAUGACUAUUUGAAUAUAAUAAAAAUAUACAAUAUUUAUAGAGUUGCCGAUAAAUAAUUUUUGUAGCAUAAAAGCUAAAUAAAUUAAUACAUACUGUAAUACAGAUAACCAAAGUAUAAAAUUUAAUUUACAGUGACACGUGAGCCCACGAACAACCAAAAGUAUCAAAAGCAGUAAACUUACAGUUUUUGAGGAUGCAAGUCCAACUGUAGUCCUCAACAAAGUGAGCUAUCUACCCACUAUCCUGAGCCAGAAAUGGGUGAAAAGGAAGGUGGUGAGAUUAUAUAAUCCCAGUGAGUAAACAAAUACCAUCUAAAAUAUCUAAAGCUGGGUAAAUGGAGACAGAUUAAAAUAGAUUAUCAUACUGUAAUUCACCACCUUUCAACUCAUUUCAACCAAAUAAAAUCAAUUCAUAUAAAUUGAGUAAUCAACAUGGCAUAUAAAUUUCUUAAAACUUUGGCUUGUGCCAAAAUCAUUCUCAUACUCAGUUAUCAAGGAUACCUUGACUGAGGGCUAUCCCAACCGAGUCCGCCAAGGUUGUUAAAAAGUUAUGUAUGCAUAAAUCAUGUUUUUAUUUUAAAAACAUAGUCAUUCUUUGACGUUGGCUGAGUUCACCCUCACGUGGUGGUUUGGCUUGAAGUGAACUCUAAAAGUGUACCUUGGGAGUUACCUUACACGCAUUUCCGACUGAGGUAAGAAUAUAAUAGGGUUACCGUGCCCCUCUAAUAGGCUAGUCCACGGAAACCCGUCCACCGCAGCGACUAAUCAAUAACCCACCAAUUCAAUAAAAUUUAACAGCAUGACAUGGCAAUUUUAUCAUUAUCCAUCCUAUCAAGGCAAACAACAGUUUAUACAUUUUCAACACAAAUACCAAUUCAGCCAUUCAUGCCAAUAUUGCCAUAAGCCAAUCAAUUAGAACCAUAAAUUCACAAUACAUCAAAUGGUCUCCAAUUACUCUAUUUUCAAAGCCAUCAUUCAAUUUCAAGACAAUUUAUAAAAUCAUUUCAUUUAAACACAUUUUGUUUAUAAAACCUAAAAAUUAACCAUUUAAACUCAUUUUUCGUAAAAUCACAAAAUCAGAUAAAAACCAUUUUAGAUAAUAAAGACGAUAGUAAGGUUACUCACUAUUUUGAGAGUCGAAUUCCAAGUACUUCGAUUCUUGAUCCUCGGGUACUAUCUCUUUACUUUUGCCAGAAUGCUCACCACUUAGACAUAAUGCACAAUAAGCCAUUUACUAUAUUUGUGCUAAAUUGUUAUAAAACAAAUUCAGGCUUUAUACUAAUGUAUGAAAUGGGAUGUAAAUUGUUCAGAUUAUCGUCUAAACACGAUGCUCUACACAAAUUCAAUUGUGUACUUAAAUAAAACGGUAUUGGCCUAAUUCGAUCUAUCACUCGAUUAAUUGGCCAAUAUGUCCAAUUUAACUCCAAAUAAUUUCAUUUUUCUUCCAAUUCUCCAAAUCAUCAAACACAAAUUAAAUAACUUGAAAUAUGGCAAAAUCAUCCUCACAUUUUCUCUUGGAAAAUUCGGCCAUGGUGGGUGCAUCAAUACUAUGAUUUUUCCUACUUAAUUAUCACACUAUAAGUCACUAAUUCCUAACCAAAUCACUUGAAAUAAAAUCAAAAUCAUCAUCAAUAUUCCACAUGGAGAAUUCGGCCAAUGAUGGGUUAGUGAACAACAUGAAUUUUUCUUGCUACACAUCACCAAUCAACUAAAAACACUAAAUAUCUCAAAAUCUAACCAAAUCAAGCAUCAAAACCUCUCUCUAAGUGUUCAGCCAGCAAAAUAUCCAUCAUGAAAUCAUGUGAUUCAACCAUGGAAAAUGCAAAAGAAUGCAUGGGAAAGGUAGAUCACAAGUCAAAAUCAAGAAAUUUUACCUUUGAUUGCUUGAUUACUUGAAAUCUACCAAUUUUCCCUUGAAUUUUCACCAUAGGGUUCUUGUUCUUUCUUUUCUCCCUUGGUUCUUGCUUUGGCCGACCAUAUGAAGAGAAAUGGGCUGAUUUUGUGCUAAUUUAUAAGGAAAAUAAUAAAUGGAUGAGAAUUUGACACAUGUCACCAUUCCAUUGGUCCAUGUGUCAUUCUCACUCAUUAAGUAAUCUCUCUCCACCAUAUAAAUUUCCUUAAUUAUCCAUGAUAAUAUUGAGUAAAAUUCAUGUGGUGGACAAGUGUUGGGUGGUGUAAAAUGACAAUUUUGCCCCUAAGGUGGCAAAAUGACUAUUUUGCCCUUAUGCUCGAAAAAAUGCUGAAAUUAAAAUUUUUCACUUCUCACACUCUAAUUAUGUUCUAAAUAGUCAAUCUUGAUCAAAAACUUCUUUCAACAUUCCAAUUUUAACCUCGAGUGGCAAAAUGACUAUUUUGCCCCUAGAUCAUGAAAAUUCUAAUUUGGCUCCAAAUUAGUCCUCAAACUCCGAAUCACCAUUUUAAGUCAUUCUAGGGUUUUAAAAUUCUUAAUUUCAUCUUAAAAUCUCUAUUUGGACCAGUUCGAGGCUGAAUUCAACUUAAUUGUACCAUUUGGUACAAUACCGUCCUUUAACGAUUUUCAAGGUACCCAAGUAAGCAAACAUGCAUUCUUAUGUAGGAAUGGCAUAAUAAACAUAUUGUAGAGCCGGGCUUGACAGUAGUACCCCCCUUAAAAUAAAAUUUUGACCUCAAAAUUUCAUUUACUGUACUUAGAGAAAAGGUGAGGGUAUUGUUUUCUCAUCUAAUGCUCGACUUCUUAUGUCCUCCCUUUUAUAUGGAAUUUCGAUUUGUUCACCUCAUUUACCUCUAAUUUAACUCGAGUACUUCACUUAUGUCUAUUAUUAUCCUUUAAAAUCAUAUCAACAGUAACCUUUACAAUUAUGAUCUCUUAUAUCAAGACACCAAGCAUGUUUCUAUUACUAUCAUUAAACUUGAACCAUAACUCCAUCUCAAUCAUACCAAUUUCGAUCACAUUCUAUAGUUAUUUAGGUAUACCAAUCUCUAUCUUCUUACUUCAUUCCAUAUCAAACUUCUCGACUUUCAUUUAUCCAUUCCUAUUUUCAUACAAUAUUGUGUAGUUUACAGUAUCAUUAACAUGCCAUACUCAUUCUUAUACAUAUCCUCAACGUUAGGGAAGAUUAAUGGCUUCAAUUAUUUCCACAUACUUCAUGUUUACCUUGCAUUUAGGAAAUUUCAAUCUUCUUAAUCCUAUUAAUCAAUCUCAUAUGGCUUAAUCGCACUAUGGAUUACAUUCCCUUAACUAUUUCCCCAAAAUUCCUUAGGUCACCAUAAAUCGACUUCUGAUAAGAUUCUUGAUCGUUACAUUAUCUAUACAACUCAUCAAAUAGAUUGAGUUUAAAUCUCGAACCACUAAAACCAUUCUUCAUUUUAAUUGGGUACAUCACUAACUCCACACAUACGUACACAUGCACAUUCAAAUGUCCAUAUUCCUCAUUAUGUAUGCAGGUCUCUGUUUUCAAAUACCUUCAGACUAAUUUCUCUUUGUUCAUUCCCAUCCAUAACCAAGAUUCAAUAGAAUAAUCUUCAUAAUUCAUACAAAUUCUCAUCAUGCUUGUGCAUAGUUCCACAUCAUUUACAUACUUAUUCUCUCUUCUUAUCAUUUCCAAUUAUAUGCUUAAGUUUCCUUAUACUAUAUAUCAUUGCAUCAUAAUGUCAUCUCCAUUGAAUUAUAAUCUAUUAUGCGUGUAUGCUUUAUAAUCCCAUUGAUACUUCAAAAAUUUAUCUUAACUUGAUCAUUGCAUGUUAUGCGAUACUGUAAUUCCUAAGAGUCAUCCUUAUUCCUCGGUUAUCUUUCAUGCCUCUUACAUAUAUUAUAUCCUUAUUGCAUUCCGAUAUUGAUUUGUCACUUAAGACUCAGACUCAUUUGAAUCAUGUAUACCUCGAGUAUUUUCGAAUUCCAAUUUUCCAUAAUAUAUUAGGAAAGUUUCAUUAUCUGACUUCAUUAUCAAGGUCAACUUCAAUCAUCUUCUGUUCCACUCUUUCAUAUGAACAUAACAUCAUUCUCCCUUAGCCAAUUUAUAAAUUGUACUUGAAAUUACAAGAUUUGAAACUAUAUUAUCCUCAAAUACUUUUCAAUAUUAAUACUAAUAUCACUCUCAGCUUACAGCUUCCUUUUUAUGAUCACAUAACUUAGUGCUUGCUUUCUCGACAUCCAUGGCAGAACUUCUCUUGAGUAUUUCCUUGGGGAUAUCUAUCUUAAACUUAUGUCUCACAACAUGUGAUCACUUAAACCGUAACUUAGCCAUUUAUGUGGCAUCCCCUUUGAGGCCCACUCAAAGGUAUUGUUAUGUUUGAAUCCCCAUCACUUGACUUACUGGGAACCUUGGGCCUAAAGGUGGCACGACAGGCCCUGUAGGACCUUCUCGCCAAGUUUCGAACCCUAGACCUUUUGCUUCCCCCCCCUCGAAGGGAACGCCUUGAACCAUUUUAGCUUUAACUCAUUCAUAUCGAUACCUUCCAAAACCUUACAACUCCAGUUAACAAAACUUAGAAUCAAGUUCAAUGACUUUAGGUCAACUCGUAAGCUCAACUUCACAUCUGUCUCAUUUUUUUCAUGCGUCCUAGACAUGAAGUGUUCUUAGCACCGCGACAUAGUGGCUGUUGGAGUUUAAUUAAUCAAUGUUAUUCAUCUAUAUUUAAGGUUACUACACUAAUCAUUCUCAACCGUUUGGUUUCCCUCUAAGCUUACGUCACAAUUUCCAUAACCAUUUAUAUCCUCUUGUGCUUAUCACAUAUAAUAGGUAAAGUCGAUAUUUUCAAAUUCAUCUCAUCCUAUAACACUUGUCAACAAUCAAUAAAUCCCACUUUAGAAUACUCUUUCCAUAUUGUAUAAUAACUUCACCAUAUAGUAUCACGACACUAUGUUCCUCCAUUCUACUGUCAUGCAUACUCCAAAGAAAUUAAUUAAAAGAUUUACGUACCUUAACUAAUGCUAAUUCCAUUUAAUCAUAUCUUAAAUACUCCAAACUUGUAAAUUACAACUCCAAGUGUAUGUCCAUAGAUUGAUAAUCUUUAUAUAUUUCAUGAUCAUGAAAACUACAACUUACAAACUAGCUUUCUAUCAUAUGCACACUAUUAGAACAUUAAUUUCAACAUGUUUAAUUCUCUUUUGGUUGUAUGUUAAGAUCAUUCUUGGAUACAUUUCCAUAUUAACAUUGAUAUGCCUCUACCAUAGCAUUUAGUGCAAAUUUGAUGAUGGAAUUGUCUCCAAAUAACUCUUAAAUACAUAAUUAUCAAAUUGUAUACCACUAAAUGUUAAGAUCUUGACUUUAUUCAUCAAUAACCAAUCACAUUUAUUAAGUGAAUAAUUUACUUAGUUAUUACACCUUGCCUUUGCGAUCAUAAGAUCAAAGUUUUCCUAAACUUAGGAUGCAAAAGUUCUCUCUAUUAGAGUAUAUCCAAACAUCAACAUUUUCUAAAUUCCUUACUUUGGGGAGAUCACCUUCAGGACUGAUCAUUCGUAUCAUAGACCACACUUUGAACCAAAUAAACUUUUAAAUUGAUCUUUUAAGUAAUUCGUAUAUCAGUCUCAAUUAUAGAACUUCAUAUGGCACUUAGACUAGAUUCGACAUUUCCAAGUCAUUUAACCUCAAGCUACCAAUUCCAUAUCUAGUCCUUUAAUCCCUUGGCUCCCUCUACUAUGCAUAGCAAAGUUUGAGCUCAUCCUUAGAGCAGAUUUGUUUACUAACUUCUUACUUCAUGACCACACAUCAAUUAUAGUAAUCACUGAUACUCACUCUUGAGUUAAUUCACGUGCUUAUAUCCAUGAACUAUAAUAGGUCUAAUCAAUUUUUGAAAGCUCACAAUUGCUUAAUUGAAAUCAACACCAGUUCCCUUUAAGCUGCUGUACCUAUUCAACACAUAUUCACAUAUAAAGUAUUUCAAAAUCCCAACACCACUUUUAUAUGGGCAUAACAAGCUCAAUUAACAUAGUGUUCUUAUCUUCAUGCACAUAAGUAUGAGUUUACUCUUACCUCAAUGCUUAAUUUAUACACUCCAAGUGAAUUACAACCAUCACUAUUCAUUCUAAUCAAAGUGCGCCCCUUAUUACCAUUAUCACACGUGCUCCUUUAUAUUAACCCCAAUACAAUCCGUAGUCCCUAAAUCUUUUUCCAAUUGACAACCAUGAGUUCAAUUAUAACUCCACCAAAUGAAUAAAUUAUCACGGCCUAUUAGUCCAACUCCAAAUUUCUCCAUCCUUAAUCAAAGGGAUAUAUCAUUUCAUUAAUCUUUCAUUAGGAGUAUUCAUUUUAAGAUCUCUCUAACACUGGCUUGUGUCACGGGUGACAUCUUAAACCUAAACAACGACCCUACUUAUGACCUUUGCAUAACAUUAACAAGCUCCCUGUCUAUGACUUAUGCUCCCAUAAGAUCUAUAAGAAGAAACAGAACGAGUCUAAACAACUCCAAAUUCUAUAUGCAGAUGCACGUAUUCUAUUCUAUCAAACCUAAUUUAACUUAACUUAACUUGGGCCACACUAACACUGUAGUUUUUAAAACAACUUUAAACCCAAAAGCUCUAAUCUUUAAAACCAAAGGCUCUAAUUUUUAAAACCAAAAGCUUUUAUACCACUCUAAUUUUCACGACCCGGUACUCUCCUCGAGCCUUGACAACCACCGCGAUAUUUUGAUAGACAUUCAUUACCCAGAAUGCCAACCGAAACCCCGCAAGGCUUUAAUAUCAGCUUCACACCUCCUCUGUGAGCAACAAUUGUUAAGUAUCAUGCUUGAGACAUUAUAAACUAUUUCUAAAUCAAAACAAUAGAAAAAUAAUUUUUCGCUCACAGGGGCAUUUUGGUCAUUUUUCCUCAAAAAUUUCGAAACCAGCUAAAAAUGUAGUAUGUGAGUAUAAAACACUUAAUUCAUAAUCAGAAAUAAGUUUAAACGUCUAAAACCUUCAUUUAAAAUGAAAUUAUGACUAUUUGAAUAUAAUAAAAAUAUUCAAUAAAAUAUUCUAUUUUUUUAUAAAACAAUAUUUAUAGAGUUUCCGGUAAAUAAUUUUUGUAGCGUAAAAGCUAAAUAAAUUAAUACAUACUGUAAUACAGAUAACCAAAGUAUAAAAUUUAAUUUACAAUGACACGUGGGCCCACGAACAAUCAAAAGUAUCAAAAGCGGUAAACCUACAGUUUUUGAGGAUGCAAGUCCAACUGUAGUCCUCAACAAAGUGAGCUAUCUACCGACUAUCUUGAGCUUGAAAUGGGUGGAAAUGAGGGUGGUGAGAUUAUAUAAUCCUAGUGAGUAAACAUAUACCAUCUAAAAUAUCUACAGCUGAGUAAAUGGAGACAGAUUAAAAUAGAUUAUCAUACUGUAAUUCAUCACCUUUCAACUCAUUUCAACCAAAUAAAAUCAAUUCAUAUAAAUUGAGCAAUCAACAUGGCUUAUGAAUUUCUUAAAACUUUGGCUCGUGCCAAAAUCAUUCUCAUACUCAGUUAUCAAGGAUACCUUGGCCGAGGGCUAUCCCAACCGAGUCCGCCAAGGCUAUUAAAAAGUUAUGUACCCAUAAAUCAUGUUGUUAUUUUAAAAACAUAGUCGUUCCUUGGCGUUGGCUAAGUUCACCCUCACGUGGUGGUUUGGCAUGAAGUGAACUUUAAAAGUGUACCUCGGGAGUUACCCUACACGCCUCUCCGAUUAAGGUAAGAAUAUAAUAGGGUUACUGUGCCCCUCUAAUAGGCUGGUCCACGAAAACCCGUCCACUGAAGCGACUAAUCAAUAACCCACCAAUUCAAUAAAAUUUAACAACAUGACAUGGCAAUUUAAUCAUUAUCCAGCCUAUCAAGGCAAACAAUAGUUUAUACAUUUUCAACACAAAUACCAAUUCAGCCAUUCAUGCCAACAUUGCCAUAAGCCAAUCAAUUAGAACCAUAAAUUCACAAUACAUCAAAUGGUCUCCAAUUACUCUAUUUUCAAAGCCAUCAUUCAAUUUCAAGAUAAUUUAUAAAAUCAUUUCAUUUAAACACAUUUUGUUUAUUAAACCUAAAAAUUAACCAUUUAAACUAAUUUUUCAUAAAAUCACAAAAUCGGAUAAAAACCACUUUAGACAAUUAAGACGAUAUUAAGGUUACUCACUAUUUCGAGAGUCGAAUUCCAAGUACUUUAAUUCUUGAUCCUCAAGUACUAUUUCUUUACUUUUGCCAGAAUGCUCACCACCUAGACAUAAUGCACAAUAAGCCAUUUACUAUAUUUAUGCUAAAUUGUUAUAAAACCAAUUCAGGCUUUAUACUAAUGUAUGAAAUGGUAUGCAAAUUGUUCAUAUUAUCGUCUAAACAUGGUGCUUUACACAAAUUCAAUUGUGUACCUAAAUAAAACGGUAUUGGCCUAAUUCGAUCUAUCAAUCGAUUAAUUGGCCAAUAUGUCCAAUUUAACUCCAAAUAAUUUCAUUUUUCUUCCAAUUCUCCAAAUCAUCAAACACAAAUUAAAGAACUUGAAAUAUGGCAAAAUCAUCCUCACAUUUUCUCUUGGAAAAUUCGGCCAUGGUGGGUGCAUCAAUACUAUGAUUUUUCCUACUUAAUUCUCACACCAUAAGUCACUAAUUCCUAACCAAAUCACUUGAAAUAAAAUCAAAAUCAUCAUCAAUAUUCCACAUGGAGAAUUCAGCCAAUGACGGGUGAUGGAAGAACAUGAAUUUUUCUUGCUUGAUUUUCUUGCUACACAUCACCAAUCAACUAAAAACACUAAAAUAUUUCAAAAUCUAACCAAAUCAAGCAUCAAAACCUCUCUCUAAGUGUUCAGCUAGCAAGAUACCCAUCAUGAAAUCAUGUGAUUCAACCAUGGAAAAUGCAAAAGAAUGCAUGGGAAAGGUAGAUCACAAGUCAAAAUCAAGAAAUUUUACCUUUGAUUGCUUGAUUACUUGAAAUCCACCAAUUUUCUCUUGAAUUUUCACCCUAGGGUUCUUGUUUUUUCUUUUCUCCCUUGGUUCUUGCUUUGGUCGGUCAUAUGAAGAGAAAUGGGCUGAUUUUGUGCUAAUUUAUAAGGAAAAUAAUAAAUGGAUGAGAAUUUGACACAUGUCACCAUUCUAUUGGUCCAUGUGUCAUUCUUACUCAUUGAGCAAUCUCUCUCCACCAUAUAAAUUUCCUCAAUUAUCCAUGAUAAUAUUGGGUAAAAUCCAUGUGCUAGAUAAGUGUUGGGUGGUGUAAAAUUACAAUUUUGCUCUUGGGAUGGCAAAAUGACUAUUUUUCCCUUAUGCUCGAAAAAAUGCCGAAAUUAAAAUUUUUCACUUCUCAAACUCUAAUUAUGUUCUAAAUAGUCAAUCUUGAUCAAAAACUUCUUCCAACAUUCCAAUUUUAACCUCGGGUGGCAAAAUGACUAUUUUGCCCCUAGAUCAUGAGAAUUCCAAUUUAACUCCAAAUCGGUCCUUGAACUCUGAAUCACCAUUUUAAGUCAUUUUGGGGUUGUAAAAUUCUCAAUUUCAUCUUAAAAUCUCUAUUUGGACUAGUUCGAGGCUUAAUUCAACUUAAUUGUACCAUUUGGUACAAUACCGUCCUUUAACGAUUUUCAAGGUACCCAAGUAAGCAAACAUGCAUUCUUAUAUAGGAAUGGCAUACUAAACAUAUUGUAGAGCCGAGCUUGACAAUCCAUCUCCACUUACUUCACUUGAUGGUGGGAAUCAAACUCAUCCCCACUUACACUUCCAAUAUGUGGGCUUUCUAUCAUCAACUCUCACCUUUUCAUAGAGGUGACUUUAAUUGCCCACUCUAGCUUGCACGCAAGGUGGCCUUUUAAUAUUUUAUAAUCAUUACCUAAUCAAAAGGUAUUCAUCCUUUAUCCUAGGCAUUGUUUUCUAUAUAUGCCCCAUUUAAACUUCAUGCACCCUAAUUCGUCAUUAUAGUCUACAUCACUUCGACAUCAUUAUGCUCAUAACAUCACAUUCAUGAAUCGUUUCUCAAUUUCACAUAAGUAUCGUUACUCUUGUAAUACCUCGUACUUUGACAUGGUGGCUAAUGAAGCUUAUCGGAUGCUAAAUGAGGUUAAUUAUAAUGUUUAAAGGUGAGGGAAGGUGAAAAGAGUAUUUUAAGAUAAAAUAUUUUACACGCGAGGGAAUAAUAAUAAAAUAAUAAUAUUUUUAUCGAGGAAGAAUUUACGAGAUAAAAAGUGAUUUGGAAGUGAAUUGAGGCAUAAUAAGGUAUUUUGGGUACCAAGGAGACAAGUGAAAAAUUUUGGAAUAAAAUAAUAUUUUAUUAAUAAAAUAAGAAUAAAAUAUUAAUAUUUUAUUCAGUGUCAAAAUUUUUCAUGAAGAAGGAGUAUACAGUUAAUCUAAGUGGGGGAGAAGAAGAACGAGGAAAUUUCGGAUAAAAAUGAAGCUAGUGGGGCCUGUGCGUUAUUAAAUAAAACUAACACGGGAAAAAAAUAUAUUUUAAAUAUUAUGGAGACGUCGGGUUGGAGUACAAGCUUUAUAUUUUGUUUGUGCAUGUGUAAAAGAAGAUAAUAGAAGGAAAUUGGAGUUAAAAGAGUAUUGGGAGGACUAAAUUAAAAAGGGAAGAAACUUGGAGGUUAAAACGAUAAUUUUACGUAAAGUUUGGUCAAAGCUUUGGAAGCUUUGACUCUCAUCUUUAUCAGCCAUGCCCAUUCUUAUCUCCUCUAGCAAGAUAUUUUCUUUGUAAAACCCGAUCCUAUAAACACGUCAUGACAUACAUGCACUGAGUAGCAUGUUAUUAUGCUAGGAAAACACCAAGAAUAGACAAAAUUCGGUAUCGUACCUAACGGUACACUUGAGUUGAUUUAACCUCGAACUAGUUCAAAUAGGAAUUGCAGGAUGAAAUUUAAUAUUUUACAGUCCAGGAAUGACUAAAAAUGAUUGUUUGGAGUUCGAAGGUUCAUUAGGGGAAAAAUUGAAAAUUUUGAUGUUUAGGGGCAAAAAUCGUCAUUUUGCCACCUAAGAUAAUAAUUUGAUCAUGGAGUAAAAUUUUUGACCAAGAUUAACGUUUUGGAGUAUAAUUUAAUGAUAGGAAGUGAAAAUUUUCAAUUCUGGUAAUUUUCGGAACAUAGGGGUAAAACGGUAAUUUUGUCGUCUCAGAGUAAAAAUCGUAAUUUUCACCACCCAAAACUUGUCAAAAUCAUAGGAUUUAUUUAUUUUUGGUGUGAACAACUAUGGUAUGUUAAGUGGUGAAAAAUUGAAGUUUAAAAGACGAAAUUUUAAAAAUGGGCCAAUGGGAAAGUGACAAAUGACACUUUUUAAUGAUUUAAUAUUAUUUUAAUGAAAAGUCAGCCCAUUUAAACCCCAUUUUAAGUGAUGGCCGGCCAUAAGGGAGAACAAGAGAGAAAAUAGAGAGGAAAGGAAGAAAAAAAAAGAAAAACCAAAGAGAAACAAGAAAAUUCAAAGGGGAAUUCACGUUUUUCGCCCGUUUACGCGUCUAACAGUAAGAUUUUUUGACUUUAGCUUGAUUUCUACCUUUCCUAUGCCUUUGUUUCCAUUUAGCAUGCUUGAGGAGAGAGAUCUAAAAGUGACAUCAAAGGGUGGACGAAUUUCAAGGGGGGAGAAAUUGAAAUUUUUAGGUUUUGAUUUUUAGUUAAAUUGAUUGUUUUAGUUAGUUAAAUGUGUUUAGAAAUUAAAUUGGGCAAGAAAGCUUUAAAUUUUCACAAUACCCACCCUUGGCCAAAUCUUCAAUGAGGUACAAUGAUGAUGAUCUGAUUUUUAUUCUAAGAGAAAUGAAGAGAAAAUGAUGAAAAAUGGUUAAAUGUGAUUAAAAAACAAAGUAGAAAAUUUACCGAGUUAAUGUCCCAUUUUUGGCCGAAUUUUUCAAGGAGGAAAGUGAACUGAUUUUGGUGAUUUUAGAAGGUUAUUGGCUGAUAUUUAAUGGUUAGAAAUGUUGGAGAGAGAAUGGGACGAUUUAGAGCUAAAAUGGAGCUCGUUAGUAAUUUAUCGGGUAAAGUGCCAAAAAUAGGUUAAUACCGCAUUUAAGCCGUUUUAGGUUAUUGCAUUUCAUACCAUGCAAUAGUAUAGGAUUUAAGUCAAUUAUAUAGUAAUUUAGCAUCAAUGUGGUGAAUUGGGUAAAUUUUGCAAUGUGUCUGGGAGGAGAGCCUUCCGGUAAAGGCAAGGAAGUCGUACCCGACCAACAGUGAUUGGGGCACCUAGGAAGCAUUUCAUCUGUACAAAUGGUGAGUAAACCUAUUAUUAUUGUAAAUUAUCUAGAGUUUAUUUUUAAAUGCUCUUUAUGUAAUUUAUGAAAUGAAAAUGAGAUUAAAAUGGGAUUUUUGAUGUUUUAGAAAUAAAUGUGACAAAUAAAAAUAUAUUGUGUUGAUUAUGAAAUUGAGUAAUUGGAGGCUACCAAUUGUCUUGAAAAAUAUAUUUUCUUAUGAAUGGCUUAUGAUAUAUGAGUAUAUGUGGCUAUAUUUUAUAAUUGCAUUGGGAAUAGAAUGUAAGCUGUCUUUUACUAUGCAGGCUGGAUAAAUAAAUAAAAGUCACGUUAUACUGUCGAAAUUUUAUUAAAAUUUGUGGGUUUAGUCACUGCAGUGACGGGUUUCCGUGGAUUGCCUAUUAGAGGGGCACGGUAAACCUGGUUACAUAAUUAGUCCGGUUGUAGAGGCGAGGAGGGUAACUCUCGGGGUAGUAUUAGAGCUCACUUCACGUCGAACCCCCACAUGAAUGUGUAACUUGGCCAACAUCAAGGAACGACUUAUUUUAAAAAUAAAAAUGUGAUUCAUAUGUAAAUAUCAUAACUACCUUGGCGAACUCGAUUUGAUGCCUCGGCCAAGGUAUCCCCGAGGAUUAGUUUUGGCUUGAGCCUUGUUUUAAUAAAAGUCAUAAGCCUUAACAACUAUUUUGGAAAAUUACAAAUGUUUUAUGGUUUAAGAAAGAAAUUGAAAACCUUAUGAAAUGGUUUGUGAUUUGUUGUUUAAACUUGCCUCCAUUUUGCUCGCCUUUAGAUAUUUAUGAUAAUGUCUGUUUACUCAUUGGGAUUGCAAAAUCUCAUCCACCUCCUUUCCAAAUAUUUCAGACCUGUGGUAGCUUGUAGAUACCUUAUUUUGUCGAGGAUUCCAGUUGACAUCUCUAUCUCACAGAUAGUAGGUUACUAUCACCAACACUUGGUGUAGUUGUGGGCCACUUGUCAUUGUAAUUAUUAUUGUACAUUAUAACUUUGUAAAUUAUAGUAUGUAUGAAUUUAUUUUGUUCUCACGCUACAAAAAUUAUUUAUGUAUAGUUCUAUAAAAAUUGUUUUAUAACAAAAUGAAAUAUAUUAUCAAAUAUUUUUAUUUAGUCUUGUUAGCCCACUUUUCACUAUAAAUGGAUGAUUUAGAUUACAAAAAUUUAUUUUAAAUCGGCAGUGGAUAUUUUCUACCAUACGUUAUAUUUUUAUCAGGUUUCGAAAUUUUCUGGUAAAAAUGACCAAAAUACCCCUAUAUGGCGAAAAUUUUAUUUUGAUUGUUUUCGAUCUAAAAUAGUUUAUAUUUUCUUAAAACUCGAUAUUUAACAACGAUUGCUCACAGGAAAGGCAAGAAACUAAUUCGUUAGCCUUACAAGGUUCCAAUUGGCAUUUGGGAUAAUGAGUGUCAAUUGGGACGUCGCGACGGUUGUCAUGGGCCCGAGGGAGGUUCCGGGUCAUGACAUUCUUCUUCUUCUUGAAGCUUCCAAUGACAUUUUCAUUUCAAGUUCAUGAAAAUCAAAUUUUUUCAUGUGAUUUCCCUUGUUUUUUUUCAUUUUCUUUCUUUUCUUACUUCGUUCUUCUCCAAACUUCUUGGGCACUAAACUUGCAGGUUCUAACCCCAAUUUCCAGCACAUCUAAACCCUAGGAGAAGAGGAAAGAAAAAGAAAGAAAGGAAGAAAAGCUUGGUUUUGUAAUUCAAGCAUGCUAAGGUAAGGAUUUUUGUGUUUUAAGUUCAUGGUUGGUUAAAUCUUUAGAGAAAUAAUGUGUGAAUCAUUUUGGUAGCUUGAUGAUUAAUUUUUUGAAGGAAUAUUGGAGUGCAAGUAUGGGUCAAGCAACCAUAUAGGUAAAGACAAAUGAUGUUUCAAGUGUAGUUGAGGAAUCUUAAGAAAAUGGGUAUUGUUUUAUAGUUGACAUUUUAAGUGGCAUAUUGUGAGAAAUUAUGGUUGUUGUGGAAAUGAUGGUUGAACUUGAUAAAUAUCCUUAGAAAAGAUUAAUAUAUGUGUUAGAGUCAUAAACAAGUUACCGGUAAUCAUAAUUUAAAGAAUUACGUAAGCAAGGGAUUAAAGCAACUUUGGUAAAAAUUGUGUCAAGAUAAGUUAAGUUGAAUAAGGAUUCGUGAUUGAAUGAAAAAGGGAAGUAUAAAUGAUGUACGCUAAAGAUAUUGAAUUGGGAUUGUUGCUAGCAAGUGCAACAGUAAAGGUAGCGUACUGUGGUGUUGUGUUGGGGAAAUAACGAGCCACCGACAAGUAAGAAUAGAUAGAUAUGCCUCCAAACAAAUAGCGAUGUAAUGUCCCACUAUUGUAAGGUGAGUGAACUUGCAUUGAAAAUAUUUUGAGAAAUGUAUUGGUAUUUGGAUGAAGCAUGAGAAUGAUUUUUAUUUGAUUUUUCCUUAAAGAUUAUGCAUGGGAACAAACCUUUAUUAAAACGUUUUAUGUUGUGAAUGUGCAAUAUGAUGAAUCCUUGUGCCUUAUAUGAUGUUGAUAUAAAUAUAUAUGUUGUGUAUUGAUAGUUAAUACUGUGUAAUAAAUAUAACCGUGCGUGUGCGCGAUGUGGGGGAUGCACAUGCUGAUGAUGACGGGGUGCGAAAGUGUGGAAAAUGAUGUUGAAGUGUGCGAGUAGGGAAUGCACAUGAUGAUGUUGAAGUGUGCGAGUAGGGAGUGCACAUGAUGAUAUAGAAAUGUGCGUGUAGGGAGUGCACAUGAUGAUAAAUAGUGUGUGCGAUGUGGGGGUGCACACGAUGACUCCAGCUAUGUGCGCGAUGUGGGGGUUGGACAUGAGUUGGUGAGGCAGUGGUGGUAUUCGUGUUAUAUAUCUUUAUAUAUACAUAUGCAAUAGAAAGUUUAUGAGUAUAACGUGUGGUUUGUAAUGUUUGUUGCAUCCUACAUGUUGAACCUUGAAAAAUUGCUAAGUGCUUCCGAAUUGAUGUUCAUUGUAGUAAACAUGGUUUUUCAUUGCAACAAGAAUUCUUUUGACUUAAUUGCCCUGUUUCUCACUGUAACGAAAUUGUGUUCUAGUUUGGCGAGAAAUUCUCGGGUGUUGAGGGCUUGCAAUAGCCCUAGAGUUCACUGCAGCAAGAACGCAUUCUCGCUGCAACAAGUUGCUCACGGUGGUUUUUGUUGUAGCAAGAAUGAAUCUCGCUACAGCGAGAAACACUCAGGUUUUGUUCAGAAACUCGUGCUCUGAAUUUCGCUGCAGCAAGAAUGCCUCUUUGCUGCAGUGAGAAUCCUUCGAUCAUGUUUGCCUUGUUUAUAUCCUACUAUGGUUUCCACUCAUUUAUCUUCAUGGUUGACCUUGGGUUUUUCAACAGUAAGAGAUGACUAAUCAAAGUUUUGAAAUAAGGGGUUUUAAUAAGAAAUGAAGUUAAAUUGCAUGGUUUUAGCAAAAGUGCAUCAUGAUUUUAAAACUUUUCGUGUCAUAUUCUUGUUCCUUUCUUAUGUUCACUCACUGAGUUUAUACUCACAUUUUUAAACUUCAUGUUUUCAUAUUUGGAAACAAUUGGGACCUAGAUUGAGUGUCCAUGUAUGCUCGUCUUCUUGGUAGGUACUAAGGCAUCUCAGUAGCGGUACCUUCACUUAAAGUCACUCCGCUGACAGUUGAGAGUCUUUUGUUUGUGUACACGUAUAUGUAAUGUAAACUACUAGGAGUCAUGUUAUAAAUGAAGUAUGUAUAUGUUGGAUUGAUGAUGAUGCCUUUAUGAGAUGGCAAUGAAUGACAGUACUUUGAGAUAAUACAAAUAUGAAUAUUCGGUUGUUAUAAAAUAUUAAUGAAACAUUCAUCGUUGAGAAUUACAACACAUGGUUUUAAAGAUGAUGGAUGGAAUAAGGAAUAGGAUCUCAUAAAAAGGCUUGCUUGGGCCUAGUGGGUUAUGCCCAUUAAGCCCAUGCACCGGUCAUGGCCUGGGAUUUGGGCUAUGACAGUUCCCAACUCCAUCGAUCGAUUUGCCAUGUAGCAAAUGAUCGGUUCACUAAACUUGCAGUCAUCAAAUAUUCAAAAUUUAUCAUUAAUCAACUAUGUCAUUUUUCAUCUCUAAAUCAAACCAACUUGCCAUUAUAAACCAUAAGCAAUAUCACUUGGCAAGAGUUUCAUUCCAUAUGGACUACAUCACUCAACCAUGUGUUAAACAUAAAAUCAUAUAAGCAUCUAUUAAUGGUGUCUAUUAACAUCGUGGAUUUCUAUUGAAUCCUUCAUAAUAUUUUCAUCAUUUGACACUUUUGUUCACACCAGCUACCAAUAAAAUAUUGGAUCUUACCGUAACGUUUUAAUUUGGCAAUGCAACUAUUGGCAACCACACCUUCAUGUAUUUCAACUAUGUCACUAGUUACUAUCAUCAUUACCUUUUUAUCACAUUUCCUUUGGUACCUUAUGACAUUCUAUCACAUUCUCAUGUAUCUCAAUUUGUUAAGUUAAGGUUUGAACCUUCCAAAGAUGGUCUUGGAUAACCAUGGUUUUAAUCUAGCUACAAGUUUUCUUAUUUCAUGUCUCGUGCCAUAAGCAAUCAUAUCUUCAAUAAUCAUUUUGUUCCUAUGAACCUCAAUCUAUAUGUCAACUAGUAACUAACAUCACCAUGUUAUCAUCUUGUCAUUAACAACUUAUGGCAAUUUAAUAUAACAUUAUAAUAUCUAAGCUUCAAAGAACCACUACAAGUCUUAAUUCUUAUGGCUUGUACUAUAACAAACUUAUAGACACAACUUAAGAUAUCACAUAACAUGUUAAUGGCCUUGCCACAUAACAAAUCAUAUAAUGAACCAUUACAACCUAUUUAAGCUUUGUUAUUAGGACACUGCUCACGGUCCAAGGUAGUUGUUCCAAAUCAUAUCUUUUCGUGUAGAUUUUCCAUAUCAAACCUCCUUACUUAGAAUACCAUGACGAAUCCUCACACCAUGUUGAUCAAUGAGUUAUGGAGACUUACAUUGUGUCCUUAAAAUAAAUAGCUACAAUCAAAGUCAAUUUGCAAGUUGCUAUCUUGAAAAUCUAACUUAAGUACUUCCUGAUAAAGUAAGUCAUACCAUAGAGUAAUUUCCUCUUCCAUUUGUCAUAAAGCCAACCAAUUGUAAUGCACAGAUGGAAACAAAGCUUUACCAUCACAUUAUGACACUAAUUCCUUUUAAUAAUUAGGAUUGUUAAAUACCCUUUAUUAUUAAUCCUGACAUCUCAUGGUUAGACUCCAAUGAGUCAUCAAUUAAUCCAUAAUAGUACCAUAAACUAUGCAUUAAAAUCCCAUCAUGAGAGCUAACCCUAUUCCCAUAAGGCCUUUGGAAUCUAGUCCAUUCUAUCAUGCCUUGAACACAAGGUAUCUACCUUAUCAUAGCUUAAGUAGGCACAUCUUAAUUCUUUAUCCUCUAGUCACGCUUUUCAAUUUUCCAUAAAUUUUAAGUACCUUUCCCUUGAGGGGGUGUGUACUCCAAUCCUUGGAAUCAUUAACAUAAUUUUAAUACCUUUCAUAUCUAAGGUAAUAUCAAAGUAUUGUGUAUCUCUCACAUAAAAAAUCAACCACUAGUUUGUGUUAGUCCACGUUUUAAUGCCUUAGACCUCUAUCUAUAAUUCUUUAUUUUGUCACCUAGGUUUAAACCUAACCAGAUGAUCAUCUAUAACAUCAUGAAAAUAACAUACGUAUCAUUAUCUUUUACGGUCUAUGCUUAAUAAUUCUAAUAAGUCUUACCCCUUCUAUUAGAGCCACUAGAAUUUAAACACAUGACCUUGUCGUUGCCUCAUCAGGAGUCUCUUGCUACAAGAUUUUCUUCUAAUCAUGGUUUGAGUCUUAGGUGGCACUUGCACUUAGGCUAGCAUGCAUGAAACAUGGGUUACAAUCACAAGGAACAUCAACUUAUCACAAUAUCAACUGUAAAAGGAUAAUCUCUACAUGUUCACUAGUGGACGUUCUUGCUCUCCCUGGUCUUGUAGCUCAAUUGCACCUGCCACGACCUUUAGCUACAGGCAUACAUGGCCUAAUAACAAUAUCUGUGAGACCAUUCUACUCUAUUGUGUCUUCCACAACCUUUCUUGAUAGGCAUACGUGGUCUUACCAUAAUCUUGGCGAAAGCAUUUGGCUCUAUUGCGUCUUCCACGACCCUUAGUAGUAGGCGUUUGUCAAGCCUAGCUCUAUAAUAUACUUGCCAUGUCAUUCAUGUACUUGAUAGCAUGUCUGCAUACUUGGAUGCCUCGAAAAAUCGUUAAAAGUCGGUAUCGUACCUAGUGGUACAAUUAAGUUGAUUAAAUCCUUGAACUAGUCCAAAUAGAGAUUUUAGGAUGUAUUUGAGGGUUAUUGAACCUUAGAAUGUCUUAAUAUGGUGAGUUGGAGUUCGAAGAUUGAUUUGGAGUCCAAUCGGGAAUUUUUAUAAUGUAGGGGGAAAAUGGUCAUUUUGCCACCCGAGGGUAAAAUUUGAAUGUUGGAAGAGAUUUUUGACCAAGUUUGACUAGUUGGAACAUAAUUUGAAUUUGAGGAGUGAAAAAAAUUUCAAUUUCAAGCAUAAGGGCAAAACGGUCAAUUCAUGUGUCCACGAGGACGUAAUUGAAAUUUUUGAAAUUUUACAACACCAUGACACUUGUAAAGCCCAUGAAUUUCAUCUAUUAUCAUUUUUAUAUCUUGGAUAAUUAAGGUAUUAUAUGUGGUGGUAAGAGAAUGCUUAAUUGUUAAGUUUUAACCAUGGACCAAUCAAGUGGCGACACGUGUCAAGUUUUUAUUAUUUUAUAAUUUCCUUUAUAAACUCUCCCAUUCACUCUCUCAUUGCUGUCCAAGCCAAAGAACAAAGGGGGAAAGAAUAGAAAACUCUAAGAAGGAAAAGUUCAAGAGAAAUUCAUUGGAUUUUUGAAAAACGAAGCAAUUGGAGGCAAGAUUUCGUGAUUUAGCUUAAGAUCUAUCUUACCCAUGCUUUCUUUUUCAUUUUUUAUGGUUGAAACUCAAGUUUUCAUGAUGAAAGCAUGCUGGCCGAAUCAAGGGGGGAAGGUUUUGAUGAUGGGUUUUGCUAGAUCUCAUGUUAUCUAGGCGUUUUUAGUGUUUUGUGAUAUUCGAUGUGAAAAACAAGUAAGAAAACAACAUGUUCUUUAUCAAACCCUAAUUGACCGAAUUCUAUAGGGAAUAUUUUGAAGAUGAAUUUUGUCAUAUUUCAUGUUAUCUAGCUCGUAUUUGAUGAUUCGUGAUGUUGGAUAUCGAAAACGGUUAUCGAAAAGUAUAGUUCCUUUAGUAAACGACUUGAACAAUAAUGAGAAAAUUAUAGUAAAUGGACUUAGAAUUGAUUUCUAAUGAGGUAUACGGACUUAUUGGAGUAUCGAAAGUGCAAUGAAUCUAUUUGGAGUUGAAUUGGAUGUUUUGGCUAAUUAAACAGUGUAUAGUGCGAGUUAGGUCGAAUACCAUUUUAGUCCAACAACAAUUGAAUCUACGUAGAACACCAUCUUUAAGUGAUUAUUCGAACACUUCUCAUUCAAUUUCAUACAUUCAUAAAGAGACUGAAACAGUUUUAUAACAGUUUGGUGCAAAUAUAUUGAAUUACUUGUUAUGUAUUAUGUAUCGGUGGUGAGCCCUCUGUUAUGGGUAAGGAUAUUGUACCCGAGGACCAGGAGUAGGAGUACUCUCGUUAUAGUGAGUAAACAGAUGAUCAUCUUAACUAUCUCUUCACUACUCGAAACUCCCAUUGGGCCGGUGACAACUGCCGCAACGUCUCGAUAGGCACUCAUUACCCCGAAUACCGAUCGGAAUCCCGCAAGGCUUAGCACAGCUUCCGCAUCUCUCUGGUGAGCGACAGUUAUUAAAUCUCGCAUUUCAAGAAAUCAUAAGCCGUUUCCAAAUCAAAAUAAUAAAAUAUUAUUUUCUGGCUCACAAGGGCAUUUUCGUCAUUUUUUUUCAAAAAUACAGAAACCCACCAAAAACAUGGUGUGUGAGUGCAAAAAACACAUGUUUCAUAAUUAAAAGUAAAUUUAGAUGUCUAAAAUAAUUAUUUGAAAUGAAAUUAUAAUUGUUUGAAUAAAAUAAUAAUAUUUAAUAAAAUAUUCUAUUUUCUAAAAAAAAUAUUUAUAUAGAAAUCCGUAUAUAAUUUUUGUAGUGUAAAAGCAAAAUAUAUUCAUACGUAUUUUAAAGCAGAUAACUGAAGUAUAAAAUUUCUUUUACAGUGACACGUGGGCUCCCAGCUAACCAAUAAGGUGCGAGUCUGUGAACCUACAAUUUUGUCGAUGCAAGGCUAACCGAAGUCCUUGAUGCAAUCGGCUAUCUACCGGCUAUCCCGAUCCUGAAAUGUGGGGAAUUGAGAGUGGUGAGAUUAUAAAAUCUCAGUGAGUAAACAGAUACCAUCUAAACCAUCUAAAGUCGAGUAAAUGGAGACAAGUAAGAUAUUUCAUUCCAGUAUGUUUUUCAUAACAUCAAUAAUCAAUUUACUCAAAUAAUCAACUUGGCUUAUGUAUUUCACAAAACUUGGCUCCUGUCAAAAUCAUUCUCGGGGAUGCCUUGGCCUAGGCAUCUGACCGAGACCACCAAGGCUAUUAAAUGUCUUUACAUCCGAAAUUCUAGCCAUGCCUUGGCGUUGGCUGAGUCUCACUCUCACGCGAUGGUCCACGUGAAGUGCACUCAAAUCUUUACCUCUAGAGAUACCCUCCACAUGGCUCUCCGAUCAAGGUAAGGUAUAUCUUAUUCUGUGCCCCCUCUCUUAGGCUGAUCCACAGAACCUCCACUGCAGGGAUUAUGAAUUAUUUUAUCUACCACCUGAUUUAAAAAAUCCUUUUCUGCAUGACAUGGCAAUUUAUCUCAAUCUAGCCUCUCAAGGCUUAAUACAUAGUAUAUAUAAUUUUGAUACAAACACAGACUUUGCCAUUCAUGCUCACAAAUUGCUAUAAGCCAUAUAAUUUAAAACACAAUUUAUAACAUAAGCAGGUAGUCUCCAAUCACUCUAUUUUCAAAACCAGUAUUCAAUUUUCCAUAAAAUCUAUAAAAUCAUUUUAUAAAAUCACAAUUUCUCCUAAAACACAGUAAUUUACCAUUUAAACCCAUUUUUCAUAAAAUCAUACAAUUGUAUAAAACUACUCUAGAUAAUUAAGACGAUAAUAAGUUCACUCACAGCUCUCGGAGUCGAUGUACUCCUAAUCCCAGUCUCCAAGCACAAUCUCUGUGCUUUUACCAGUAUAAUUUGCUCACCACCUAUCCACAAUGUACAAUACAUAAUUCACCACAUUAAUGCUUGACCAUUAUAAAUCAAUUCAGGCUCGGUGUGUAUGCAUAAUAUGACAUGCAACUUAUCCGACUACCGCUUAAAUGCAGUACUGACCUAAUUUGGCCUAUUACUCGAUUAAAUUACUAACGCGUCCAAUUUAAUCCCAAAUUACUCCAUUUAUUUUCUAAUACCUCAAUUCACCAAAUAUUAUUCAAAUAACACAAAUUUCAGCAUCAAAACCUUCGCAUUUCUUCAUGGAAAAAUUCGACCAUUACAGUGCACUAACACCGUGAUUUUUCCUACUUAAUUUUCUCUCCAUAAUUCAUUAAUUCCUACACCAAAAACUAUUAUUUCUUAAUCAAAUCACCUAGAAUAACAUCCCAUUUGUCAAACCCUGCUUUGUAAAAUAAUUAUGAUGUUAUUCACAUGCUCGAUAGAAUGUUUGUAUAUUGAGGAAGCCCGAGAAAUCGACAAAAGACGGUAUUGCCCCUAGAGGUGUUGUGAAGUUGAUUUAUACCUCAAGCUAGUUCAAAUGAAAAAUUUAAAAGGGAUUUGAGAGUUCUGAAAUCCCAAAAUCUACUUGGAAUGGUGAUUCGGAGUUCGAGGAUCAAUUUGGAAUCAAUCAGGAAAUUUGACCGGUUAUGGGGUAAAAUGGUCAUUUUGCAAUUUGAGGACAAAAUGGGAAUUUUUUUUUUUAAAAAAAAGAUUUUCUUAGACCCAUUUGGCAUAUUUGAGUAUGAUAUGAGUAUUGAAGUACAAUUGGAAGAUUUAGCAGUGAAAAUAUAUGAAUUUUUGAUAUUUUUGGAGUAUAGGGGUAAAAUGGUAAUUUUGCCAUCCGAGGAUGAAAUUGAAUUUUUUGAGAGAAUUUAGAUCAAAUUUGAUUACAUGGAGCAUGAUAUGAGUAUAAGGAGUGAAAAUUAUGCAUUUUGGUAAUUUUCCAAUUUUUGGGGUAAAAAUAUAAUUUUUUACUUUUACGGGGGUAAAAGUGUAAUUUUUUAAAAAAUUUGCUCCACCAAAACUUUGGAAAAGUCUAGAAAUUUCAUGGAAGACAUGGAUAAGUGAAGAGGAUUGAGUGGUAGAAAAAGAAAGUAAAAAAGAUGGCUAGAAAAAAAUAAAAUAAUAAAAUAUUCAAAAGGUAAAUAAAAUAAUAAUAUUUUAUUAAGCCUAUUAAAAGGCUUGAAAAUUCCAGAAUUCUUCAUUGGGAGGGUCAGCCAAAACCAGCAGGAGAGAGAGAGAAAUAAGAACAAACCCUAGAGUGAGAAAAUUCAAAGAAAAAGUGUGAUUUUUCAAGGAAUCAAGUGUUUAAAGGUAUGAUUUUUCAAGCUUAGCUUAAGAUUUAUCAUUUCCAUGCAUUUCUCCUUAUUUUCCAUGGUUAAAUUAUGUGUUUUGAUGAUGGAUUCAAAUCUGAUCAUAUGGGUUUAGAGAGAGAAAGUUGUUAGAUUAAUUUGAUUUUGAACUAUGUUAGUGUUUAGUGUUAGUUUAGCAUGUUUAUGAGUAAAACAACAAGAAAAAUAUUCAUUUUCUCCAUGAAUUUCUCUAGGCCGAAUCUAGCCAAUGGUGUGUGAGGAUGAGGUUGACUUUAUUUUAAGAGAAUUAGAUGGAAAAAUGAUGAAUUAUGAGGUUGGAAAUUAAAUGGGAAUUUUUGGUGCAAAAAAAUUGAAAUUUUUACCCACUAGGGGUAAAAGCGUAAUUUGUGGUCCGAACUGAUAAAUUGGACCACAUUCACAGUCAUUGAGGUAUUGUGGAUAUAAUUGGAUAAUUGAAAUUGAAAUGGAUGGAAUUGGAGUUGAAUUGGAGAUUUUAGAAAUUUACACCGUGUAUAGGCGAGUUAGGUCGGACACAUGAUUAAGCGAUUGUCCAAACAUUUCACACCCUAUCUAGUGCAUACGCAUGGAUAAGAGCCUGAAAUAAUAUAUAUUGAUUUGACACAAAUUAUUGAAUUUUUUGUGUCAUGUAUUGUGGAUAGGUGGUGAGCUAUCUGAUACGGGUAAAAGACUACACCCGAGGACCGAGAAUAGGAGUAUAUCUACUCCUAGUACAGUGAGUAAACUUACUAUCGUCUUAAUUAUCUAGAGUAGAUUUAUUUAAUUGUGUGAUUUUAUGAAAAAAUGGUUUAAUUGGAAAAUUAUUGUGUUUUAUGGGAAAAUGGGAUUUUAUAAAAUAAUUUUAUAAAAUUUUUGAAAAUUUAAUAAUGAUUUCAAAAAUAGAGUAAUUGGAGACCUAUACUAUGAUUGUGUUGUUUAUCCAUGAUUUUACAUUAAAUGGCUUAUGAUAAAUGUGGGUAUGACUGGUUAUUUUUAUGAUUUAAAGAAUAUGUGAACUGCUUUGAUUUGCCUUGAAUGUGUUAAGUGAGCCAUGUCAUACUAUUGUGAUUUUAUUGGUUGGUGGAUUAUAAAGUGGGCACUGCAGUGACGGGGGUUCCGUGGGCCAGCCUAAUUAGAGGGGCACGGUUCCCAAUUAUUGAGCUUACCUCGAUUGGAGAGGCGCGUAGGAUAACUCCCGAGGUAGGAUUUGAGUACACUUCACGCUGGCCACCACGUGAAAUUGGGACUCAGCCAACGCCAAGGAACGGCUGUGUUGUCAGAGGUGAAAUGUGUUUGUGUGUGUGACAAUAAACAGCCUUGGCGGUCUCGGUAAGAUGCUUUCGCGAGGUAUCCCCGAGAAUGGAUUUUUGGCAAGGGCCAAGUUUUUGAAAAGUGCAUAAGCCAUGUUGAGUAAUUAGAUGAAAUCCAAUUAUUUAUAUGGGUUGAGAUGAAUUAUUUUAAUUGUCUCCUAUUACUCGGCUUUAGAUUAUUUUGAUGAUGUUUGUCUACUCACUGGGAUUUUAUAAUCUCACCCCUUCUUCCUAUACAUUUUUCAGGCUCAGAAUAGGCAGUAGACUGUCAAUUGCAUCGAGAAGUAAAUUUCGGAGUUGCAUCCUAGAAAGCAAGGUUAUAGACUUAAACCUUCUCAGUUAUUUGGGGGCCCACGUGUCAUUGUAAUUUAAAUUGCAUACUCUAGUUUUCUAUAUUAUAGUAUGUAUAAAUUUAUUUUAUUUUUAUGUGCAGAAAAUUAAUUUUUUUUGUUGUUUCAAAAAUAUACAUAUAUAUAUAUAUUGUUUUACAUGAAAAUAGAUUAUUUUAAUUAAUAUUUUUAGUUUAUUUUAUUAUUCAAAAAAAAAAAAAAAAAAAGGAAAGAGAGAGAGGAAUGGAAAAACUGGUACAAAAGCCUUGCGAGGUCUCGAAAGGCGUUCGGGGGAAGAAUGUCUAUCGAGGCUUCGCGGCGGUUGUCACGGGCUCGAUGGGAGUUCCGGGUCGUGACAAUUCGAUUGGUAUCAGAGCUUUUGGUUAACAAAGCAUGGUUUUAAAGUUUUUGGUUUUUUUAGUUAUUUUAAGAAUUCACACUUGACACUGCGUGGCCCCGGGUUGAGUUAAACUAGGUUAAGUUAAGUUGGGUUAGGUAAAGUUGCAUGUAUGUAGAGUCUGAGAUUACCUAAACUUGCUUCGUUUCAUUUUUUAGAUUACCAUACCUCCUCGACGUGAGUGCCCACUCCCUACUAGAUCAGCUAGGAGGGGCAGAGGUCGUCUUAGGCAGGGUCAGCCAGACCUUAGAGGAGAGGAAUCGACUGCAUCGCCUUUUCGAGCAACACUUGCUGCUGAACCGGUCGAGAUUCCUCCGCCACCUACUGGCAUUCCUGCCGUGUCUUCUGAGGUAAUUCAGGCAAUGGCAGCCUUCUUUACCGCAAUGGCUGGUCAAGCUCAAACUAGUCAGGUCCCACCUGUAGUGCCACCAGUUACUCCUUCAGUUCCAUUGGCACAUGAUGUCUCUAUUUCUAAAAAGCUGAAGGAGGCUAGACAACUGGGUUGCGUGUCCUUUGUGGGUGAAUUGGACGCCACCGCAGCGAAGGAUUGGAUUAAUCAGGUUUCAGAGACACUCUCUGAUAUGAGAUUGGAGGAUGAGAUGAAGCUGAUAGUGGCUACGAGGUUAUUAGAGAAGAGAGCCCGUACAUGGUGGAAUUCGGUGAAGUCCCGUUCCACUAUUCUCCUAACUUGGUCAGACUUUCUGAGGGAAUUUGAUAGUCAAUAUUAUACCCAUUUCCAUCAAAAAGAGAAGAAGAGAGAAUUUCUGAGUCUGAAGCAGGGGAAUUUAACUGUAGAGGAGUAUGAGACUCAAUUUAACGAGCAGCUGUCUUAUGUGCCUGAUUUAGUGAGGACUGAACAGGAUCAGGCCGAUUAUUUCGAGGAAGGGCUCCGCAAUGAGAUAAGAGAGCGAAUGACUGUGACAGGUAGGGAGCCCCAUAAAGAGGUAGUACAAAUGGCCUUAAGGGCUGAGAAGCUCGCAAAUGAAAAUAGGAGAAUGCGAGCUGAGUUGGCAAAAAGGAAAAAUCCGAAUAUGUCCUCCAGUCAGCCACUAAAGAGGAGCAAAGGCUCAUUUGUUUCAGGGAGUGCUCCUUCUGUUUCGGUAACAUCCUCUCGACCAUCAUUUUCACAAAUGCAGCAGAGGCCUCCGAGAUUCAGCGGAUCUGCAGUGACUACUUCUGAAAAAAGUUUCGGAGGUUUUGAUAGAUGUAGAGAAUGUGGAAGAUUUCAUGGCGGGGUGUGUUGGGGGCCUUUGCGAUGUUUUCAUUGUGGCCAGACGGGUCACUUUAGAACUAAUUGUCCACAGUUAGGACAGGCCACUGUAGCUGCUCUAUCUUCAUCAACUCGUACGGACUUGCAGAUGAGAGAUUCCUCUGGAGCACAACUGAGGCAGGGAGUAGCUAUCCGGCCUGAUGUGGAGAGUAACACCCCAGUAUACCCACCUUCCAAACCACAGACUCGUGCGUCAACAAAAGUUUUUACGGUAAUGGAAGAUGAAGCACGAGUCCAACCUAGAGAAAGUGAAUGAAAAGUUAGGUGGAAAUGUAAGAUAAUGAUAAGAGAUGUAAAUACUAAGUUUUGAGAGUGUAAAUAAAGCUUUUAAGAAUAAUAUAAUAAAUGAGUUUAUGUAGAAUAUCGCUAUGAAAUUUUCUUAAUGUAUUGUGGAAAUUGGAGUUCAGAAAUGCAUAAGACAUGAAAGAUGAAUAUUUGAGGCAUUGAUGAGAAUGAAAGUGACCCCACAUGUGUAGGGAUUAGUAAUAUGGGUUACUAAAGUGAAGAAUGAUCCUGAGUGAUUCAAGAUUUAAAUUUCAUGUAUGAUGAGUGAUGUAGGUAGAACAACGAAAAGAACAUCUCAAUAGUUAAAGGAUUGUGGAAGAUUGCUCAAACGAAGGAGAUGACAUGAGAUGUUGAACAUUGGAUAAAAGCUAAUACCCCUAUCUUUUCUUGGAGUUUGAUAAGUGAAAUUUUGGGGACAAAAUUUUUUUAAGGGGGGUAGUGUUGUCAAACCCUGCUUUGUAAAAUAAUUAUGAUGUUAUUCACAUGCUCGAUAGAAUGCUUGUAUAUUGAGGAAGCCCGAGAAAUCGACAAAAGACGGUAUUGCCCCUAGAGGUGUUGUGGAGUUGAUUUAUACCUCGAGCUAGUUCAAAUGAAAAAUUUAAAAGGGAUUUGAGAGUUCUGAAAUCCCAAAAUCUACUUGGAAUGGUGAUUCGGAGUUCGAGGAUCAAUUUGAAAUCAAUCAGGAAAUUUGACCGGUUAUGGGGUAAAAUGGUCAUUUUGCAAUUUGAGGACAAAAUGGGAAUUUUUUUUUUUAAAAAGAUUUUCUUAGACCCAUUUGGCAUAUUUGAGUAUGAUAUGAGUAUUGAAGUAUAAUUGGAAGAUUUAGCAGUGAAAAUAUACGAAUUUUUGAUAUUUUUGGCAUAUAGGGGUAAAAUGAUAAUUUUGCCAUCCGAGGAUGAAAUUGAAUUUUUCGAGAGAAUUUAGAUCAAAUUUGAUUAAAUGGAGCGUGAUAUGAGUAUAAGGAGUGAAAAUUAUGCAUUUUGGUAAUUUUCUAAUUUUUGGGGCAAAAAUGUAAUUUUUUCCUUUUACGGGGGUAAAAGUGUAAUUUUUAAAAAUUNNNNNNNNNNNNNNNNNNNNNNNNNNNNNNNNNNNNNNNNNNNNNNNNNNNNNNNNNNNNNNNNNNNNNNNNNNNNNNNNNNNNNNNNNNNNNNNNNNNNNNNNNNNNNNNNNNNNNNNNNNNNNNNNNNNNNNNNNNNNNNNNNNNNNNNNNNNNNNNNNNNNNNNNNNNNNNNNNNNNNNNNNNNNNNNNNNNNNNNNNNNNNNNNNNNNNNNNNNNNNNNNNNNNNNNNNNNNNNNNNNNNNNNNNNNNNNNNNNNNNNNNNNNNNNNNNNNNNNNNNNNNNNNNNNNNNNNNNNNNNNNNNNNNNNNNNNNNNNNNNNNNNNNNNNNNNNNNNNNNNNNNNNNNNNNNNNNNNNNNNNNNNNNNNNNNNNNNNNNNNNNNNNNNNNNNNNNNNNNNNNNNNNNNNNNNNNNNNNNNNNNNNNNNNNNNNNNNNNNNNNNNNNNNNNNNNNNNNNNNNNNNNNNNNNNNNNNNNNNNNNNNNNNNNNNNNNNNNNNNNNNNNNNNNNNNNNNNNNNNNNNNNNNNNNNNNNNNNNNNNNNNNNNNNNNNNNNNNNNNNNNNNNNNNNNNNNNNNNNNNNNNNNNNNNNNNNNNNNNNNNNNNNNNNNNNNNNNNNNNNNNNNNNNNNNNNNNNNNNNNNNNNNNNNNNNNNNNNNNNNNNNNNNNNNNNNNNNNNNNNNNNNNNNNNNNNNNNNNNNNNNNNNNNNNNNNNNNNNNNNNNNNNNNNNNNNNNNNNNNNNNNNNNNNNNNNNNNNNNNNNNNNNNNNNNNNNNNNNNNNNNNNNNNNNNNNNNNNNNNNNNNNNNNNNNNNNNNNNNNNNNNNNNNNNNNNNNNNNNNNNNNNNNNNNNNNNNNNNNNNNNNNNNNNNNNNNNNNNNNNNNNNNNNNNNNNNNNNNNNNNNNNNNNNNNNNNNNNNNNNNNNNNNNNNNNNNNNNNNNNNNNNNNNNNNNNNNNNNNNNNNNNNNNNNNNNNNNNNNNNNNNNNNNNNNNNNNNNNNNNNNNNNNNNNNNNNNNNNNNNNNNNNNNNNNNNNNNNNNNNNNNNNNNNNNNNNNNNNNNNNNNNNNNNNNNNNNNNNNNNNNNNNNNNNNNNNNNNNNNNNNNNNNNNNNNNNNNNNNNNNNNNNNNNNNNNNNNNNNNNNNNNNNNNNNNNNNNNNNNNNNNNNNNNNNNNNNNNNNNNNNNNNNNNNNNNNNNNNNNNNNNNNNNNNNNNNNNNNNNNNNNNNNNNNNNNNNNNNNNNNNNNNNNNNNNNNNNNNNNNNNNNNNNNNNNNNNNNNNNNNNNNNNNNNNNNNNNNNNNNNNNNNNNNNNNNNNNNNNNNNNNNNNNNNNNNNNNNNNNNNNNNNNNNNNNNNNNNNNNNNNNNNNNNNNNNNNNNNNNNNNNNNNNNNNNNNNNNNNNNNNNNNNNNNNNNNNNNNNNNNNNNNNNNNNNNNNNNNNNNNNNNNNNNNNNNNNNNNNNNNNNNNNNNNNNNNNNNNNNNNNNNNNNNNNNNNNNNNNNNNNNNNNNNNNNNNNNNNNNNNNNNNNNNNNNNNNNNNNNNNNNNNNNNNNNNNNNNNNNNNNNNNNNNNNNNNNNNNNNNNNNNNNNNNNNNNNNNNNNNNNNNNNNNNNNNNNNNNNNNNNNNNNNNNNNNNNNNNNNNNNNNNNNNNNNNNNNNNNNNNNNNNNNNNNNNNNNNNNNNNNNNNNNNNNNNNNNNNNNNNNNNNNNNNNNNNNNNNNNNNNNNNNNNNNNNNNNNNNNNNNNNNNNNNNNNNNNNNNNNNNNNNNNNNNNNNNNNNNNNNNNNNNNNNNNNNNNNNNNNNNNNNNNNNNNNNNNNNNNNNNNNNNNNNNNNNNNNNNNNNNNNNNNNNNNNNNNNNNNNNNNNNNNNNNNNNNNNNNNNNNNNNNNNNNNNNNNNNNNNNNNNNNNNNNNNNNNNNNNNNNNNNNNNNNNNNNNNNNNNNNNNNNNNNNNNNNNNNNNNNNNNNNNNNNNNNNNNNNNNNNNNNNNNNNNNNNNNNNNNNNNNNNNNNNNNNNNNNNNNNNNNNNNNNNNNNNNNNNNNNNNNNNNNNNNNNNNNNNNNNNNNNNNNNNNNNNNNNNNNNNNNNNNNNNNNNNNNNNNNNNNNNNNNNNNNNNNNNNNNNNNNNNNNNNNNNNNNNNNNNNNNNNNNNNNNNNNNNNNNNNNNNNNNNNNNNNNNNNNNNNNNNNNNNNNNNNNNNNNNNNNNNNNNNNNNNNNNNNNNNNNNNNNNNNNNNNNNNNNNNNNNNNNNNNNNNNNNNNNNNNNNNNNNNNNNNNNNNNNNNNNNNNNNNNNNNNNNNNNNNNNNNNNNNNNNNNNNNNNNNNNNNNNNNNNNNNNNNNNNNNNNNNNNNNNNNNNNNNNNNNNNNNNNNNNNNNNNNNNNNNNNNNNNNNNNNNNNNNNNNNNNNNNNNNNNNNNNNNNNNNNNNNNNNNNNNNNNNNNNNNNNNNNNNNNNNNNNNNNNNNNNNNNNNNNNNNNNNNNNNNNNNNNNNNNNNNNNNNNNNNNNNNNNNNNNNNNNNNNNNNNNNNNNNNNNNNNNNNNNNNNNNNNNNNNNNNNNNNNNNNNNNNNNNNNNNNNNNNNNNNNNNNNNNNNNNNNNNNNNNNNNNNNNNNNNNNNNNNNNNNNNNNNNNNNNNNNNNNNNNNNNNNNNNNNNNNNNNNNNNNNNNNNNNNNNNNNNNNNNNNNNNNNNNNNNNNNNNNNNNNNNNNNNNNNNNNNNNNNNNNNNNNNNNNNNNNNNNNNNNNNNNNNNNNNNNNNNNNNNNNNNNNNNNNNNNNNNNNNNNNNNNNNNNNNGGGAAAAAUGAAUGUUUUUCUACAUAUUUUGUUUACUAACAUGCUAAACUAACACUAAACACUAACAUAUAUCAAAUCAAAUCAAUCCAAUAAUUUUCUCUCUCUAGACCCAUAUGACCAGCCAUGAAAACAUGCAAUUUAAUCAUGAAAAAUAAGGAGAAAUGCUUGGGAAUGAGAAAACUCAAGCUUAAUAGAAAAAAAUCUUACCUUUUUCACUUAAUUUCCUUGAAAAUUCAUACAUUUUCUUUGAUUUUCUCUCUCUAGGGUUUGGUUUUUGUUUUCUCUCUCUUCUUGCUGGUUUGGCCAACCAUGGGGUGGAAGAUGGGCUGGUUUUUGUGCCUUUUAAAAUGGAAAAAUAAGAAAUUAAUAAAGGCAUGACACGUGGCAUCAUGUCAUUGGCCCGUUUUUUUUUUAAAUUUUGACUUUUUAUUUUAAUUUUCCACCACACCUUUAUUCCAUCUUUAUCCAUUCCCACCAUAAUUAAAUUCCACAAAUUUGACAAGUGUUGGUGGUGCAAAAUUACCAUUUUGCCCCCGGUAUGACUAAAUUACCGUUUUGCCCAUAUACUCCAAAAAUAUCGGGAAUUGAAAAUUUUUCACUUCUAAACCUCAAAUCAUACUCCAAUAAGUCAAAUAGGGCCAAAAAUCUUUUCUAAAAUUUCCAUUUUGUCCCCAAUUGGCAAAUGAUCAUUUUGCCCCUAGAUAGUGAAAAUUUUGGUUUGACUCCAAAUUGAUCCUCAAACUCCGAAUUACCAUUUUGAGUCAUCCUUGGACUGUGAAACUCUUAAUUUCACCUUAAAGUCCCUAUUUUAAUUAGUUCAAGGUAUAAAUCGACUUACUUGUACUUCUAAGCACAAUACCGACUUUUAAAUAUUCUUUCGGGACUGUUCAAAUAUACAAUCACUCUAUCAGUCUCAUGUGUAACAUGGUAGAUAACUUAGGACUGGGCUUGACAUAUCUAAAGUAGUUUCUACUCGUUUUUAUGUUUUAAAGAAUAAUGAGUUUAAAUUGUAAAUUAUUAUGUUUUAAAAUUGAAGUGUUGGUUAAACGAAAUGAGAUUUAUAACUUGUUUUGAAAUCGAAUACUGGUUUUGGAAAUUGAGUAAGUAAAGACUAUAUACUUGUGUUAUAUAUAUGUUUUGACAUAUGGUUUAAAUUGAUGGCUUAUGACAAUGUGAUUACAUGAAUGGCUGGUUUUGUGUUUGUGUGGAAUAUAUGAACUGUUUUGUUUUACCUUGACAGGCUGGGUAAUAUCAUAUUAGCCAUGUCAUGCUGCUGAAAUUUUUUAUUGAUUUGGUAGGGUAAGUGAUUAGCUUACUACAGUGGAUGGGUUUUCGUGGACCAGCGUAUUUGAGGGGCACGACAAACCCCGCUAUAUUUUACCUUAGUAUGAGAGGCACAAAGAGUAUCUCCUAAAGUAGUUUAGAGUUCACUUCAUGCCGAACCACCACGUGAGGGUGAAACUUAGCCAACGCCAAGGAACGGCUAUGUUUUUAAACAUAAAAACAUGUUUUAUGUGUAUAUGUUAAUUUAACAGUCUUGACGGAUUCGGUUGGAUGCCCGGCGCAAGGUGUCACCGAGUACGAGUUUUGGCAUUAGCCAAGUUUUAAGAGAGUCAUAAGCCUUACUGAUUAUUUUAGAUGAAAUGUAAUUGUUUUAUAUGGUUGAAAUGAGUUUUAAUGUUAUGAAUCAUAUUAUGAAGAGAUGUUUUAAUUGUCUCCAUUUACUCGGCUUUAGAUGUUAUAGAUGAACUUUGCUUACUCACUAGGUUUAUAAAAACUCACCCCCUUCUUUUCACCCAUUUCAGGUUCAGAGCAGUCUGUAGAUAGUCGAUUUUGUUGAGGGUUUGCUUUUGGAUUUGCACCCUUAGAAAUCGUAGGUCUACAAGCUUGUUUAUUUUUGUUAUUUUGGGGCUCACAUGUCAUUGUAAAAUAUUUUUGUAUACCCUGGUGCUGUGUGCUAUUAUGUAUAUGAAUUUAUUUUGUUAUUACGCUACAAUAAUUGUUUACGUAGAAUUUUAUAAUAUUGUUUUAUAUGAAAAUGAAAUAUUUUAUCGAAUAUUUUUAUUUAGUUCUAUUAGUUAUAAAUUCACUUUAAAAAAUUAUUUAGACACCUAGAUUUAUUUUUUUAUAUGAAAUGUAUUUUUUCAUUCAUAUAUUGUAUUUUUAGCAGGUUUCGAAAUUUUUGAGUAAAAAUGAUCAAAAUACCCCUGUGCGGUAGAAAUUACUUUUUGAUUGUCUUUGAUUUGAAAAUCAUCUAUAUUCCUUUAAAACAUGCUAUUUAGUAACUGUUGCUCAUAGGGGAGGCGAAAAACUGAUGCUAAAGCCUUGCGAAGUUUCGGUUGACAUUUCGGGUAAGGUUUGUCUAUCGGGACAUCGCGACGGUUGUCAUGGGCUCGAAGAGAGUACCGGGUCGUGACAGCGUUCAUGGUCUAAGUAUAACAACUAUGGGACUCUCUAACUCCACAAUGUAUCUGGAAAUCGCUCAAGUUCUUGGCAGCAUAAUUAUAAAACAACAACGAUCACAUAAUACAAUACCCAUUUCAAAUGACUCAUAUCAAUACUAGACAUAAUAGUUAAACCUAACUUGGGUAGGUAGACACACGAGGAAUCAUAUGUGGGUCAUUCAUUUUUGACUUGUGCUUGGGUACACAAAAUAAAAAUAAAAUACCUACACACAACCCCAAUGUUUUUCUUAACAAACAAAUAAGGUGAUCUUAGGACUCUACAACCUAGAGUUUUGGUACCAAUUUGGUCAAAUCUUAUUUUUUGGAGAGAUCGUGAUCGACGCAAGGACCUAAAUGAGUACAGCUUGCUAGACCCAAGCAAGCUUAAUGUCAUUAUACAUAACCAUUAUUCAUCAUAUAUCAAUCAUUGUGCAAACACAUGCAUAAGUUGCACCGUUAUGGAUUUCACCAUCACCAUGCUCAUGAACAUUUCAAUAAUCAUAUACUUCAUAGUCCAAUGUGGCUCCAUGUACCCUUAUAUAUAACAUUCAUAUACGCACAUGUGGUGCUCAGUUAGGCUCUCAAGCCAUCAUGCUCAAUUCAUAUAUAAAUAUGCAUGUAUGACAUUAAUACCAAGUAAAAUGCCAUAAAAUGGCUACAUCAUCACAACAAUACCCAACAAUGUAAGAACAUAAUUAAUAAAUAAAGACCGAAUCAUCUAACGAUAUAUGACUUGACUCUCUAGGCUUCAAAAAGGCUACUAUACCACCUACCAAGAAGAAAGAAUGGAUCACGUCUUCAUGAGCCAAGUGGCUGACGAGCUAUCACUGAUCUGUAACAAAAUAACAUGGAAACAUAACUUGUGAGUUAUAAAGACUCUAUGAAUGAAUACGAGAAGGGGACAAGCCAAAGGAAAGAGGUUUUUCACAAAUUACAUCAUUUAUGUAAACAUGAGCUUGAGAUAAACAUACAUGAGUUCCAAAUUUCUUAUAAAAUAAAGUUGUCAUAAACGAGACUCAUUUUCAUAGUGAAAUUGACAUUUCAUAAACAUAUAGCUCAUUAAACAAGGUGAACAAUUACAAAAAAACAAGGAAGUUGUGCUUGACCCAUGAUAUUGGAUCCUCCCUAAGGGAUACGAUACUUAACCAUAUAAACCCAAGCCAUGGGUGAUUUCCUUGAAGCAUUUCAUAAAGCAUGUGGGUUGAUCAUAUACUUAAGAUUAUCUAAAUAGGAUUCAAUCAUGCUCCAUAUCAAAAGAUGCACUUCAAUUGAUCUACCACAUUUCAUUUACGAAGACAUGAAAUCACUAGCCAGAAGAAGAAGAAACAAUUUACCUUAUGGAAUGGCCAUCCCUAAAAUUUUGGAAAAAAUGAAGAUUGACACUUUACUGGGCAAACCAGUUAUGGCUAAGAAAGUCCAGAAUCUUAAUUUAGGCGUAGUUGGAAAACUUGGUUUUGAAUAUGAUGCUGUCAACAAUGGAUGGAUAAGGAAAAAUGUACAUCAAGCAUAUCAAGAUCAACGAAAAAAAAAACAAGUAGUAGAUAAAAAAGAAUAGGCUAACAAAGAUCAGUCAUAGACUGAUAAUUCAAACACAACACAAUAUGAUUAUGAUCUCGAUAUGCCUAACUCACCAAUGGAUCCUCUACUUCUAUAUGAACCAUCUUUAAGAGCAAAUGAACAUCCAUUUGGAUUACUUCAUAUAGAAUACAUACCUAAAAGUGCAUAUUGCUUCUUUUGUGCUGAGAUGGAUAGUCAAGAAAAGGUUUGGUCAGAAAAGCUUGAUGGAAUCAGUAAAAAGGUUCAUGCAAUAAUGGAGGACUACACUAAAAAAUUUCAAUAGAUGAUUAAUAAUUACAUUUGUCAUGACCCAAACCCACGGGUUUGUGACUGGAGCAUGAGUUUGGCAAGCAAAGCCCACAAGACUCGAGGAAGCUUUAGAAUAUUCAGAUCAAAAUUGUAUAUCACUAGCCAAGGGAUAUCCUCAUAAAAUAUUUUCAUAACAUAAUUAAAUUCAAAUACAAUUAUUUGACCUUGUCAUAUCGUUCAUACUCAAUAUUUAAUACGAUGUUCAUAGGCCACACAUUGGCGUUAAGGCGGGUUUGUACUUACAAUCCCUAGAUAAGUAUAAAUGGCACAUCGUGCUUACAUACAUAUCAAACUAAAGCAAAUGCGGAAGCUCAUGACAGACUAAAUAAAGUGGAUGUGUUGGAUGGUGACCUAUCGGAUGCCAAAAUUGGUAUGUCAAUGGACGACCUUUGCCACACAAUCUUGUGGGCUAUUUAUCUGCACAUGGAACAAUAAACAGAUGAGUCAUCUAAUACUCAGUGUGGGGUGCAGAUAAAUUAGACAUAUAUAAUUGACAAAUAUCUGCAUAUAUAUAUAUGUUGGUAUAUGCCCUUGAGCCAAUUGGAUUGGUCAAGGAAUAUAUAUUGUCAUUUAAUGUAAAGUUAAUUGCAUAACUAUAUGUAAUAGAGGUUUUUCUUCAUGUCAGUACAAUAAUAAGAAGUUAUUAAUUACUAAUUGAAUGGAGCCCAUAGAACAUAAAGGCCUUGCAAGAGAAUUGUAAAGUUGUUACAAUUAUGAGCUCACUAUGCAUCAAAGCCAUGUUCCUAAAAUUGUUCCUGGCCAUUGCAUUGUCAAGACAUGGCAUGUGGGUGCUUGUUAAAGAACAAGUUGUCACGACUCGGAACUCCCAUUGAGCUCGUGACAACCGCCGCAAUGUCCCGAUACACAUUCAUUACCCAAAAUGCCAAUUGAAAUCUCGCAAGGCUUAACAUCAGUUUUCUCGCUUACCUUGUGAGUAUUAGUUACUGAAAUCAUGUUUUAAAGUGAUAUGAACCAAUUUCAAUUCAAAAACAGUCAAGAGAAAUUUCAACUACACAUGGGUAUUUUGGUUAUUUUUCUCAAAAAUUUCAAAACCAGCUAAAAUGUAGUAUAUGAGAGAAAUUUACACAUUUCAUAACCGAAAAUAAGUUUAGAUAUCUAAAACAUUCAUUAAAAGUGAAAUGAUAGCGAUUAGAAUAAAAUAAAAAUAUUGAAUAAAAUAUUCCAUUUUCUUAUAAAAUAAUUUUUAUAGAGAUAUCCGUAAAUAAUUUUUGUAGCGUAAAAGCAAAAUAAAUUCGUACAUACAAUAACACAGAUAGUCAAGGUAUGUAAUUAAAUUUACGAUGACAUGUGGGCCCCUAAAUGACUAAAAGUAAUGAAGGUUGUGAACCUACAGUUUUUGAGGAUGCAAGUCCAACUGUAGCCCUCAACGAAAUGAGCUAUCUACCGACUAUCCUGAGCCUGAAAUGGGUGGAAAGAAGGGUCGUGAGAUUAUAUAAUCCCAGUGAGUAAACAAAUACCAUCUAAAAUAUUUAAAGCUGAGUAAAUGGAGACAGAUAAAAUAGAUUAGCAUAAAAAUGAUUCACAGCAUUUCGAACUCAUUUUAAUAGGAUAAAAUAGAUUCAUUUCACCCAAAUAAACAACGAGGCUUAUGAUUUCCUGAAAAGCUUGGCUCGUGCCAAAAUCAUUGUCAUACUCAGUUAUCAAGGAUACCUUGACCUAAGGCUAUCCCAACCGAGUUCGCCAAGGUUAUUAAAAAGUCAUGUUCGCAUAAAUCAUGUUUUUAUUUUGAAAACAUAGCCAUUCCUUGGCGUUGGCUGAGUUCACCCUCACGUGGAGGUUUGGCGUGAAGUGAACUCUAAAGUUUUACCUCGAGAGUUACCCUACGCGCCUCCCCAACCAAGGUAUGAACAUAACGGGAUUUCGGGCCCCUCAAAAAGGCUGGUCCACAGAACCAGCCCACUGCAGCAAGCUAAACCCACCAUACCAUAAAAAUUCAACAACAUGACAUGACAAUUUUAUCAUUAUCCAGCCUAUCAAGGGAAACAACAGUUUAUACAUUUUCAGCACAUUUACCAAUUCAACCAUUCAUGCCAAUCUUAUCAUAAGCCAUUCAAUUCAAACAUAAUUUAUAACACAGCAAGUAGUUUCCAAUUACUCCAUUUUCAAAACCAUUAUUCAAUUUCAAGACAAUUUUAUAAAAUCAUUUCAUUUAAUCGCAUUUUGCAUAAAAUUACAAAAUAGCAUAAAAACAUACUUUAGAUAAUUAAGACGAUAAUAAGGUUAUUCACUGUAAUGGAAAUUGAGUUCUGAGUACUCCGAUUCUUGAUCCUCGGGUACUAUCUCUUUACUUUUGCCAGAAAGUUCACCACCUAGACAUAAUGCACAAUCAAGCAAUUCACCACAUGGGUACUAAACCGUUAUAAAACUAUAUGGAUGCAUGAAAUGGAAUGCAAAUUGUUCAGAUUAUCGUCUAAACACGGUGUUCUACACAAAUUCAAUUGUGUACCUAAAUAAAACGGUAUUGGCCUAAUUCGAUCUAUCACUCGAUUAAUUGGCCAAUAUGUCCAAUUCAACUCCAAUUAACUCCAUUUUUCUUCCAAUUCUCCAAACCUUCAAACACAAGUCAAAUAGCAUAAAAUUUAGCAAAAUAAUCUUCACAUUUUCUCUUGGGAAUUUCGGCCAUGGUGGAUGCAUUAAUACUAUAAUUUUUCCUACUUGAUUUUCUCACCGUAAUUCAUCAUUUCCUAACCAAUUCACUUGAAAUAAAAUCAAAAUCAUCAUCAAUAUUCUACAUGGAGAAUUCGGCCAAUGAGGGUUAUGGAAGAACAUGAAUUUUUCUUGGUUGCUUUUCAUGCUACACAUCACCAAUCAACUAAAAACACUAGAAUAUCCUAAAAUCUAACCAAAACAACCAUCAAAAUCUCUCUCUAAGUGUUCGACCAGCAAGAGACCCAUCAUGAAAUCAUGUGAUUCAACCAUGGAAAAUGCAAAAGAAUGUAUGGGAACGGUAGAUCACAAGUCAAAAUCAAGAAAUUUUACCUUUGAUUGCUUGAUUACUUGAAAUCCACUAAUUUUCUCUUGAAUUUUCACUCUAGGGUUUUUGUUCUUUCUUUUCUUCCUUUGUUCUUGCUUUGGCCAG